UCGGCAGCAGUGGAUUCUCCGGCCAUGUUUCUUCAAUGUAUUCGAGGAUUACAAGGGACUCGGCUACUGCUCUGUCACCAUGAAGAAGCACCGGAACCUUCUUGUGAACUGGAUUGUGGUGUAACAACAACUGGCUCUUGCUACGAAGGUCUUCCUCAAUAUACUCAUAGUUUAUGCCCUUGAGUUUUAGGGUCCAUAUCACCCUGUAAGCAAAAGAGCUUGCCCAAAACCCUAAUAGCUUCACUCCUGCCAUUGUUUUCUAUUAUGCCAGCUCAAUUUGCUUGGGGAUGAGUUUCAAAUCUUUAAACUUGGAGGAAGAUGUGAUCCUUUCUCUUCAACCAAGGAUUUCAGCCUGUGUAAGGAGGAUUAUUCAUUUAAUUAGAUCUGUAAUAAUAUUUAUGUAUGAAGGGGUAUUUUCAAAUUAAGAAUCUUCACAAUGCCCUUAGCUAAGACUAUAUUAAUUGUUAUUAUUUUCUAUUAACAUGAAAAAGAAAAAAGAUAUAUUGACUAGUGACUCUUAAAGGUCAAUGAGUUAGGUAGAUUUUUAUUUCUGCCACUAAUAUAACAUUGCAGGUAGGUCCAUUCCUGGUUAUAAAUAUCCAAUUAGAAGAAGCUCUACCUUUUUCAUGGAAACGACAAAAAGGAAGAUUGAAAAAUCAAAGAAGUAACAUCAAGUGUUUAUAAAGCAUCAAUCAUUUCACUUGGACAAGAUGUUAAUUGCCAGAGUCGGUCAAUAGAAGAUAAGAUCUAGGAUGAAGACCCCGAAUAAGAAAGAAAAGGUGUGAGAAAAUUUAUGUAACAAUUAUUUCGAAUUCUAAAGCAAGUUUAGCAAUGAAAUAACUCCCUUAUAACCAUCAAUAUAUAUAUAUAUCAAUCGGGUGGUACAUUAGGUCAGAGUACUCACCAGCUCACAUCACCCAAGUCAAUGAAAUCCAAUACCUCAAUCUUAGUUCAACUAAAUAUACCUUCAUGAUUGGCUUAAGUAUGGGUAGCAUAUUGUUAUGAACUUUAAUGUAUAUUCCUUUAUUAUCUCCUAAAGGUUAGGAUUAGAUAAUUAUUUUAAUCUCCUCUCAUUUAUUUCCUUCGUAUAUAUGUAACUACUCUUCAAAUGAAUAAGAUGAGCCAUUAUUCCAUACUUUGUUAUAUGGCAUUAGAGCUCUUUCUACUCUUAUUGAGUUUCUUAAUUUGCCAUGGCUAACAUUUCUAUCACUAAUACUUCAAACUCAUCUAAUUUAGAUUUGUUAGCUUUUGUACCCAAUGUUUCAACUUCCAUUAUUAGCUCCUCAACUAGUUUCAUUUCCAUCAAUGUCAAUGCCAAACUUCUUUAAAAUUAACUUUUCAUAAUUAUUCUUCAUGGCAUGUCUAAUUUUAUGCAAUUCUCUUUUGCUAUAACCUUUUCGGAUAUGUAGAUGACUCUCUAUUGUGUCUUCCUAUUUUUGAGGCUUCUUCUCAUUCUUUUAGGCCAUGCCAAGAUCAACUCAUUUUUCAUGCAUUUUUGCCCCACUUUCAAAAUCUAUCAUGCCGCUCAUAAUUGCCUCAACCAAAACUUCAUGAAGCAUAGUUAAAAUUUACCAAACUUUAUGUUGGUCACUCUUAAAGUCACAUCCUUCAAUCCAAAGGAAAAAUUUCCUCAAGCACCCCUAGAGAAAAAAUUUUCUUAGAGUUUUUACAAAUAUUCAAAAGCCUUUGCGAUCAACUCACCCUUUGUCAUUCAACUUUGGAUGAAGAAGAUUUGUUUGUACACUCUCCGAAUGGAAUGGGAAAAAGAAUAAAAGGAAGUUGUUGUUGCCAUUCAAUCUAAAGAAAUUCCCAUUUCAUUGGAAGAACUUUAUCAUCAACUCAUAGAUCAUGAAGAGUUUAUGCAACAAGACUCUCUUAGCUCUGAAUUUGUUCCUAUGUCUACAAACCUAACUUGCUAUCAUAAACAAUCUCAUAUGUACUAGAAACUUCUAUUCUCCUUUGUUUUGCCUUAUUGAAAAACCUAGUUCAUAUCCGAAUUAUCUCACCAAUCAACCAUCAAAAUGAAAGCAAUCCAACCUAAAUCCUAAUGUCUGCCAAUAUUGUGAAAACUGAGUUUAGAUUGCCAAGAAUUGUUUGAAGCUCUUCCCUAAUCAACAUCUUUUCCAUGCCAGUACCAACUAUAGUAUCCCAUACCUCAUGAAUACCUUUCCUUAACUUAUUGAUUCAAGCACUUCGCACCAUGUUAUUAUUGAUUUAAGUAAUUUGGCCUUGCAUUUUGAACGUGAGAGUUAUGAUGAUACAGUCCUUAGUGAUGGUGAAGAUCUCGAUGACACACACUGUUAUGCUAAUUUCUCAAUUCUUUAUUUUACCAAAACCUUCCCUUUACAAAUGAUCUUUGUAUCACAUCAAUGCAAUUGUUUCUAAAUUUUGUUUAUCUCAAAAUUCUUCCAUUGAAAAUUUUUCCUUCAUAUUUUUACGUUAAGUAUCUUCAAAUGAUAGCACUACUAUUGCAAGGGUUAGGAUAAAGAUGGUGUUUACGAAUGCCACAACUUACAUAUGCUCUUAGAAAUUGCAUUCAUGCUCUUGGCACACUCAAGGAACCUUAGGUUUUCCAUUAAUAAUUGGGUCAUCUAUAGAAGCUCUUUAGAAGAUGACAAGAAAAAUUGAAACCCUAACCCCUAAUAGGGGUAUUUAUAGGGCUCCUUAUGAGCUGAAGUGAUUUCAGCUUAAAAUGGGCUUAGGUCCUAAUUAAUUAAUUAACUUUAAUGGGAUCUAAUUAAUUAAUUAGUCCUUACCAGAAAGAUAAUUCAUAAGAUCUAGUGCAACCUUACAUUUUGAUUAAAACACCCUUAUACACACUUAUGAAUCAAAACUCAAAUCCCUUAAAAUAAACGUGUACCUUUAUAAAAUAGAAACUCAAGCGUGGACCAUUGGGACCCAUAGGAAAAUAUUAGUUCCUUUAUAAUUUAAUUCUAAAGUUGAUUCAAUACUCCACUAAAGAUCAUCAAUUGCACUCUAAUAUUAUAAUAGCAUAGCUCAGGUUCAUGCCUUACCAUCCAUAGCAUGCAGACUCCUUAUGACUUGGUGUCUAUAAUCUAACAUGGUAUUGCUAUCAUCUUUAAGAUUACCUCUCCAAUCCUUCUGUUAUAGAUCCCACUUAUUAUGUGAUCAAUUAACAUACUUUAACUCCAAGGAACAUAUGUCAAAUUUCUACUGAAGGAAAUGAUCUGACCAUAGGCUUCUAAAUCACAUGUUCUUUGGAUCACUUAAGAAGAGACACUAUCUCAAUUUAAUGAGAAAUUGUGGUGCCUCUAUUGAGAAUAUCUAUUGCCAUUAGGCUUCAUCAAUAGUAACCCAAUUCAUAGGGACAUAUGGUCACUUUAAGAUCUCACCCAUAAGUCAACGUCUCCUAUUGAUUUUGGCACAGACUUAACACCUUCUCAAGGUUGAGAGUCCAUGUAGUAUAAUAGCUUAGUGAAUUGUGAUAACCGAUAGCCUUAUGUCAUGAUUCACUAUAGGUCAUGUCCAAUGUGCAUCACAUACACUAUUGCACUCACUAUGAGAAAAUCAUCCCAAUGACCAAGAUAAGUCAUUCCUUUAAUUACGAGAUAGUGCAUUACAGUCUCAAAUGAAUUGCCUAAAUCUAUGAACCAACUGUGAAUUACUCAUCACUCUACAAGGUACCCAUGACUUGGAUCUUCAAUGCAGUUCCUAAUGCGCCCAAGUCAUGUGCAAUGCAAGUAAUGUGGGUAUGUAUGUUUAGAUAACCAAUUAAUGCUCAUGUAACUAAAAAACAUAGAUAAAUAAUUUUAUAAAUGAAUCUCAAUUUGUUAGAUCAUUUCAUUUUUUCUAAGGCUUAAUCCUAGCAAUAUAUUCCUUAUGAAUUUGGUCACUAAUGAUGGAGGUUAGUUGUAAUAGAUAUCUUCAAUAAAGACACCAUGAUAUCUCAUGGUAUUGAGACAAUGGGUCUUCUUAAAACUAAAGUUGCAGUAAUUUCUUAAGUGGAAUUUGACAUAUAUUCUUUAUGAGUUAAAGUAUGUUAAUUGAUCACAUAAUAGGGGGAUCUGUAACUCAAGAAUUGAAAAGGUAAUCUUGAGAGGUUGAUAGCACAUAUCUCCUUGAUUACAAAUACCAAUUCACACAGUCUAUGUGCAAUGGGUAGUAGGUUAAAGACCCAAGCUUUAUCUCAUUAUAAUAUCAUUGGAUACUAGAGUGUAGUUAGCUCUCUUUAGUAGAGUGUUUAGUAAUUUCAUAAUUAGAUUAUGAGGGAACCAAUAUUUUCUUAUGGGUCCCAAUGGUUCCUGUUUCAGCUCUUGAUUCAUGUUGGCAUGUUUGAUUGAGAGAAUUAUGGGUUUUUAAUUCCUAAGUGUGCAUAGGGGCAUUUUGAUAAAAAUAUAAGGUUGCACUAGAUCUUAUGAAUGAUCUUUCUAGAUUUGGCUAAUUAAUUAAUUGAAGUCUAAUUGAGUGAAUUAAUUAAUUAGGACUACAAUGGACUAGAUUAAGUGACCUAAGCCUAAUUUGGGGUAAAGUCACUUAAGCCCACAUGGAACCCUAUAUAAAUCCCCUUAAAGGUUUAGGAUUUCAUUUUUUGCAUCCUCGUCUUUCAAACUUUGGAAAAGAAAUACCUUGCCUCCUUUUAGAUAAGUCCAUCGUUAUCUUGUGCCAUAGAUAUGUGAAAUGAGUGAUAAAGUAGAAGAUCUUUAGAUCUACAAGAUCUACGAUGCCAACCUAGAUCUAUCCAUUAAGACUUAAUGAUCCACCACUAAACAUGAUUUAACUAAAAGCGAAUGAUGCAUACCUAACUUUUUCUUUAGGAAUUCAAGGCUCUCCUUUUUCUAGUGGCUUUUCUUUUCAGAAAGGAAACACUUGCCCUUCCCAUUGCUCUUCUUACUCAUUUUCUUAAACUUUUGCUUUUGUUUGAUGUUCUUUGAAUUGUUCUUCUUCUUCUUCUUCUUUUUAGAAGAACCUGAAAAACCCUUGAUUAUCAUAUGACUACCUUCUUAGUCGUUGAGAAUCCCCUCAGUCAUCCGAGUUCCCUUAUAAUUUUAGGUAAGCUCAUCACCAAUUUAUGCAUAGUAUAGUUGAACUUGAACUACCUGAAGGAAUCCAACAAGGUUCGAUCUAAAACUCAAACAUCAUCUUUAUGUUUCUGAGUUUAGAAAGAAUUUGAUUCCAGUUUCUAGUUACGUAAAUCGAAUUGUUCAAUGUUUUUUAAUAAACAAGUUAUUAUUAAAAUGAAUAAUUCAAUUAUAUGCUCAAGACCAUUGAUUAAUAAUCUUUAUCCUAUGACUGCAUUAUCAUUAUUGUUAAGUAAUGAGAAUAAUCAUAUCUCACUUAAAAGAAAGCAACCCAUCACUAAUCAAAAACACUUUUGACACUUAAACUUAGGUUAUACUAAUCUAAAUAGGAUCCAAAGGCUACUUAAAGUCUAGAAUAUUGCACUCUUUCAUUCCAAAGGAUCUUUUAGUCUGAAAAUCCUAUAUGGAAGGUAAAAUAACUAAGAAGCCAUUUACUACUAUAGGAUACAAAGUCAAAGAAUGUUUGGAGUUAAUGUAUAUUGAUAUGUGUGGACUUUUGAAUGUCGAUGCAUGGUGAGGGUAUGAGUACUUCAUCACCUUUACAAAUGAUUACUCUAUAUAUUUACCUAAUGCAUAGAAAAUCCAAUGCCUUAGAUAAAAUUCAUUAGAUUUAAGGUGGAAUAAAAAAACCAAUUAGGUAAACAUAUCAAGGCACUUCAGUCUAAUUGCGACGGUGAGUAUACAUCACCUGGUUCAAUUAUUUCCAUAAGGAGCAUGAGAUUAUAUCUUAAUUGAGUGCAACUAAAACUCCAUAGUAGAAUGGAGUAGUGGAAAUAAGAAAUCAAACUUUGAUGGACAUAGUGAGAUUUGUGAUGAGUUUUUCAUCACUUCUUGUAUCCUUGUGGGGAUAUGCCUUAUUUUCCUAUGGGUACUAGCCCAUUCAAGCUCCUGAUUCAUUGUGGCAUGUUUGUUUAAGGGAAUUAUGAGUUUGUAAUUCAUAAGUGUGCAAUGACAUUUUGGUAAAAACACAAGGUUGUUUUGGAUCUUACGAACGGUCUUUUUGGAUUUGCCUAGUUAAUUAAUUGGAGCAUGGUAGGUCUAAUUAAUUAAUUAAGAUCCAAAUGAGCUAUAUUAAGUGGCUUAAGCCCAAUUUAGACUCAAGUUACUUAAGUCUACAAGGAAGCCUAGCAUCCUUAGACUCAAUAGGGCUUUAGUUUUUACAUCAUUGUUUUCUAGUUUCUAGAAAAGAAACUCCUAGCAUCCCUUUAGAUAACCCACCCUUAUCUUGUGGUAGAGAUCUAUGAAAGUAGUGAUUCGAUGGAAGAUCCAUAGGUUUACAAGAUCUAUGAUACCAUCAUAGUUUAUUUCAUUGGAUUGGAUUUGUUCUGGGAAUAUCUAGAUCAUAGUAUGACAUCUAAUCGUAGAUCUAUGAUCAUUAUGGUGUUGUUUACCAUAUUUCUUCAUUGAGUUAGAUUUAGAGAAGGUUAGGCAUAGUUGCAUGCACUCUACAAGAUCCAGGGCUAGAGAAUAGAGUAAUUCAAGGUUCCUAGCAUCCUCUUAUUUCAAGAAUUUAAUAUAUAGAUAUUUAGGAUAAGAAAUGUUAAGAUAAAGCCCUUAAGAAUAUAUUAUCAUGUAACAAAAUAAGAUUCAUUAAUAUAUUUAAUUAUAAUUUUAGUUUCCACUUUUCUAUCCAUGAUUGUAUUAUUACUCAUGGGAGUAUUUAGGCUUGCAUCACUUGGAUUGCACAUGAAUUGAGUGCAUUAGAAGAUUGGUGGAAAAUUUAAGUCAUUGGUUCUUUACAAGUUGAUGAGUUGUUCACAACCAAUUCAUGGACUUAGGCAAUCCAUUAGAGAUAGUAGUGUGCUACCUCUUAAUUGAAGGGCUGACUUAUCUUGAUCAUCAACAUAGAUUUCCCAUGAUGAGUGCAAUAAUGUGUAUGGUUACACAUUGGAUAAAACCUAUGACAAAUCAUUACAUGGGAUAUCGUAUGGUUAUGACUUCACCAAGUUACAAUGUUGCAAGGACUAUCAACCUUGAGAGAAUAUUGAACUUGUGUUGAGCUCUGCAAUGACUUAAACUUAUGAGUGAAACUCUAAGGUUGUCAUAAAUUGUCUAAGAAUUGAGUCCCUGAUGUUUAAGGCAAGUGGUAAUAGGUGUACUCAAGGUAGACAUCAUGAUAUCUCAUGGGACUGAGAUAAUGUCCCUUGGGGUGAUCUUAGGGACUUGUGAUCAUUAAAUCUAUGGCUGCAACAAUUCCUUAAGUGGGAUUUAACAUAUGUCCUUUGUGUAUUAGAACAUGUUAAUUGAUCACAAAAAAUAAGGAUUUGAAAUUCAAGAAUUAUAGAGACAAUCUUGAUAUGUUGAUAGCUACUAUCUUAUUAGAUUGUGCACACUAGUUCAUAAGAAACUUGUAUGUAGUGGAUUUAAUAAAUGUUAUCUCAAUGUAAUAUCAUAGGGUAUUUAAGUGAAAUUGACUUUUUUCAGUGGAAUAUUGAGUUAACUUUAUUAUUGGAUUCUAAAAUAGUUAGUUUUUUCCAAUGUUCUUAAAAUCCAACCGGACUGACCAAUUUGACUGAUCGAACCAUAGACUGGAACUUGGUUCGGUUCAUUCCAACCUAUGGCCCAGAGUACAUAUUGAACCAGGCUUAAACUGAAUGGAUUGACAGUUGGACCAUUAAACCUGUGAAUUGAUCAUUCGGUUCUGGGUUGACAUUUUUUUUCCUCGCUAAAGGGUGGUUAGGAGCCCAACCUAGUUCACCCUACUUUAGCCUACCAUAUAAGGCUAGUGGGCCAAGGACCACAUAAAGCUACAAUACGAUACAUGGGACAAAGAAUUUAAAGGAGUGUUCAUCCUCCUCUGCUUCCACAACUCCCAAUGUGGGAUGAGAUAUAAAAUCCAUACAAUUUUCCACAACUUCUCAUGUGGGAUGAGAUAAAAUACAUAAGCUAUAAUGCAAUUGGCAAUUGACAACCAGAUGAUUUGAACCAAUUUGUUACUAAUAAUUGAUAUUUAAAAAUUGUAAACUAAAAAACCAAUAACAUAAUUAUUUAAAAAUUGUUUUGAUAAUAAAAAAAAUAUAAGUAAAAUAAUGUAAUAUAGGUAAAAUAAAUUAUAAAUAAAAGAAUUUUCUUCUAUUGUAAUACAUAUUUUAUUUAUAAAAUUUAAAAUAUUAAUAUUUUUAGAUUUACUCAUGAUUUAAGUUUGAUAAUAUUAAAGACAAUAUAUAUAUAUAUAUAUAUAUAUAUAUAUAUAUAUAUAUAUAUAUAUAUAUAUAUAUAUAUAUAUAUAUAUAUAUAUAUAUAUAUGCUUUAAAAUUUUAAAAUUUAUUUUUAAUUUUAAUAAUAAAUAAAUUAUAUAUUUAUGACAUCAUCGAUUCGAUUGCAGUUUGACCAUUGGUUUGACCAUUGAAUCGUGAACUGGUAACUUUUUUAGUUCAAUGACCGAUCCAAUUAUGAAAAAAUUGGUUUUUUCUUAUAAGCUUUAGUGGGCCUUGCUUGAACUCGUAAUCUUUGUUAGAACAAAGACUUGAGGGAAAUUGGGUUUAUUUAAUCAUAUGUCUGCAUAAGAGCAAUUUGAUAAGAAUGCAAGGUUGCACAAAAACUUAUAAUUAUUAUUUUAGGUUUCCUAAAUUAAGCUAAUUAAUUAAUCGGAGUCCAUCAGUGCUAAUUAAUUAAUUAAGAUCCAAUGGUCUAGAUUAAAUGAUCUAACCUCCAGUGGGCCUAAGUUACUUAAGCCCACAAGAGUGACUAUAACUUCUUAGGGUUUAGGGUAAGCUAACAAAGAAAUCCAUCUAUUCAUUCUUUAUUCUUCUAAAGAAAACCUUAUUCAUCUUUUCUCUCUCAAGGUUGUGUAGCCACUUUAGACACAUGACAAGGAUCAAAGACAAAUCUUUUGAGUGGAACACACCUAGUUUUUGAGAUCUCUACAUUAACUUGAAUUUGAUCUAGGAAAAUCCAUGUUGAAUUGUAUGUCUUUUAGCACCUAAAUCUAAGUGUAGACCCUUCAUUUUGUCUCCUUAGCACAUGCCCUAUGAGGUGUUCUUUCAAUAUUUCACAGUAGUUCUCUAGUUGCCCAUUGCUACUCAUGCAACUUUUCUUUUUUAACCACCUUGGAGACUUUGAAUGAGGGAUUUAUCUAGCCCCUCAUUGUGACCCUUGGCAACCUUGAGUUAGAUCUAAGUUUUUUUUUUCUUUUUAGGAUAACUCAUUUAGGUACACUUUCACUUAGACACAUCCUAGGUCACCUAGCCACUUUUCUUAUCACCCUAGGUCACUUAGGCACUUUUCUAAUCAUCCUAGGUCACUUAGACACUUUUUUUAAUCACCUUAAGUCACUUAGACACUUUUUUUUUUUUUUUUUUUUAUCACCUAGGUCCACUUAGAUUCAUUUAGGCCCACCUUAGACCCAUCUAAGCCCACUUAGCCCACUUAGGUUCACUCAAGCCUAUUUAGGCCCAUCAGAUCCACAUUAGGCCCAUCUAGGCCCACUUGACCCAUUCAGGUUCACUCAAGCCCAUUUAGGCAGAUUUAGGCCCACUUAGGUUCUCAUUUGGCCCAUCUAGGCACACCUAAGGCCAUUUAGGCCAUUUAGGUCAUUUAGGUCCAUCUAGGAUCACCUUAGCCCAUUUAGGUAACUUAGGCACAUUUUGGUACACCUUAGGCCCAUUUAGACUCACCCUAGCCCAUUUAGACACAUCUAAGCCCAUUUAGGUCAAUUAGGCCCACUUAAGCAUGCCUUGACCCAUUUAGGUCACUUAGGCCCAUUUAGGCAUCUCAACCCAUUUAAGCACACCUAGGCCCAUUUUGGAACCUUGGCCCAUAUCUGGCCCAUUUAGGCAUACCUAACCUAUUUAGGAAUACCUUGACACAUUUAGGCACACUUAGCCUAUUUAGGAACAACUUGGCCUAUUUAAGCACAUUUGACUCGUUUAGGCACACCUUGACCCUUUUAGGCAUACUUGGCUUAUUUAGGCACAUUUGACCCAUUUAGGAAUGUCUUGGCCUAUUCCAACCAAGGAUGAAAGUAUCAGUAAUUACGAAUAUAUUGGUAUUUCCGUUUAUGGAUAUAUCUGAUAUAUCGACGGAUAUUUUGACAUAAAAUAUCGGUGAACUUAAAAUUGAUCAGAAAUUAUAAAAAUGUAAGAAAAAACUAUUAAAAAUAAAAUUACAAGUAUAAUAGAUAUUUUAAAGUUGUUUUAUUCAAGAAAUUGAUAUAUGUAUGAUAUAAUUUAUCAUAUUUGAUAAUAAUAUUAUAUGUGCUAAUAAAAAAAAAUGAAUUUUAUAAGUAUACAUUUAUUAUUAAAUUAUAUCAAAUAUUAUUCGAUAAUAAUAUUUGUGAUAUUUGAUUAUAAUAUGUCUAAUUUAAAAAUGUAUUUAAUAUUAAAAUUAUAAUUCGUUUAAUUCAAUUGUAUUAAAUGAUAUAAAAUAAAUGAUGAUAUAUGUAUAAUUUUUAAUACUUAAUUAAUAUAUUAAUGAUAUUAAAAACACUAUGAAGAAAAUUAUCACAAUAAUUUUUAUAUUUUUAGUAUUCAAAUAGAUGAAAUUUUUUCAUUUAAUUAUAAUUAAUUUGUUCUUUAAAACAUUUUUAAAAAUUAUGUUUAUACGAUGAAUUUGAGUUUAUAUAUAUUUGGUGCAACUUAUAUAACAAGGGACAAACUUGCCCUACUGGUUGGCUUAAUGCAUAGUAAACCUUUUGGUUGGGGUUAACAUUCAAGUUCCAGCUCAUGUUAGCUCAUUUAGUCUCACUUAGAUCACUUAUGUUCACUUUAAGUACACUUAAGCUUAGUUUAUCUAGUUCAUUUUAAGAAGUUUUCUCUAAGUUGCACUUUAGAAUAAUUAUUUUAGAGGCAUAUUUAGUUCAUUCUAGUUUAGGUACACUUUAGGAUAGUUCUCUUAGAUGCAUAUUUAGUUCACCUUAGUUUAGAUGCACUUUUUCAUUUUAGUUGAACUAAUGUUCAUGCCAUUUAGGAACACUCUAAGUUAGUUCAUCCAUUUCUUAUUUAGGUAUAUUAUCUAGUUACAUUUUUUUAGAAUUCGUUUUAUAUACAUUUUAAAAAGGAGAGUGAGAAUUUUUUUAAGGAAUAUGAUAACUUUUUUUUUAUUUAUAUAAAAAAGGAAGAUAUGACAAUUUUUGAAGAUGGCAUCAAUUUUUUUUUUUUUUUAAAAAGAGAUGAAAAUUAUUUUGAAGAUGACAACAAUUUUUUUUAAAGGAGAAGGAAAAUAAUUAAAAGGAAUAGAAGAUAAGAUUUUUUUUUUUUUUUUCUUUUAAGAUGGUACCAUUUUAAAAAAAAAAAGGAUAGAAGAUAUGAAUUUUUUUUUUUAAAAGGAAAAGGAGAAUUUUUUUUAAAAGGAAUAUGAGUAUUUUGGAAGAGGAUAUCAUAAUUCUUUUAUAGAGGAUAUUUGAGUUUAGAAAAGAAGGACACAUAUAAGGAUUCAUGGACUAGAGGACCCGACCAUAUUGAGAAGAAUAGAGAUUCAUGCAUUUUAGAGAAGACUACUCACCAUCUUGGAUUAGGAAAAGUGUGGUGGUUGUCAUUGACUUGCCAAAACAGAUUUCAAGCAUGCAUUUGAGGAAAAGAUUGGGGGGACAUCAUUAAGGAAGAGAAAAACCUAGACAUGAAUGGAGAUUGAUUUUUUCUUUUUUCUUAUUUUUUUUUUAAGAAAAAAAAAGAAAAGAAAAGAAAGGAAAAGAGAUUUUGGGGAAGAAAACAUGAUGAACAGUCGAUGAAAGGAAGGGGACAUUUAGGAAGAAGAAGAGAUCGCCUUCUUUUGAGAGUAAAAUGAGACGUUUUGAGGGAUUCAGAGGGGUUUUAAGGGAUUUUUUUUUUUUUUUAGCAAUUUGGAGAGGGAUCAAUAGCCUUUCGUGGGGGUUCUCAAACUUUAUCUUCAUAUCAUAAUUUGAAGAAGAAGGUGAGUAAGUUUAGAAAAUGUUGGGAUUUAUUUUUUCUGGUUGUUAUGUAUUAUUCUGGGUUUUGUAUAUUGUUUUAUGUUAUUGAAGUUUUGAUUUUUAUUGAGUGCUUAGAAAAUUGUUAGCACUGUUGUGAAAUAAGGACAAAUACAAUGCAAAUCAAAGUAGUAAAGAUGGAAUAUAUUUUACUUUGAUAUAUAAUAGGGAAGAAGAAAUCAGAUACGAGAGUUGAGAAAGUUGAGAGAAUGAAAAACAGAGAUAAUGAGAUGAAGAAAAUUUCUUUCUUUUUCUCGGGAUGUAUAUUGCAGGAGAUGGGAAGCCCUUUUAUAGGCUUUCCAAAUGGCUUCCAUUAAUAUCCCCAUUAAUGAAACUCAUAAAUAACAUUAAUGGUUUCUAUUAAUGAGUAUUAAUGGAAGUCAUAAAUAAUACUUAAUUAACAUUACUGUGGUGACAUUCAUUACUUCAGUUAUAACACUCCCCCUUGGAUGUUCAUCACAUUGAAGAAUAUGCCUCAUUAAAACCUUACUAGUAAAAAACCCUAUAGGAAAAACCUAGCAAAGGAAAAAGAGUACAAUAUUCUUUUCUAGGUAUAUUAGGAUUGCCUCGUUAAAAACCUUACUAGUAAAACCCAGUAGGACAAAACUUGGACGAAGGAAAAAGAGUACAGUACACUAACACCCUUUUACAAGCAUACUUCCCUUAAGUCGAUAUCAUUGAGUUGACGUAUUCCAAUCAUGUGUAUUAACUUCUUGAAUAUUGAGGUUGGCAAUGAUUUUGUGGUAAAUCUGCUAGAUUAUCACUUGAGCAUAUUUGUUGCACAUCAAUUUCACCACUCUUCUGGAGUUCAUGUGUAUAAAAGAAUUUUGGUGAAAUGUGUUUAGUUCUAUCUCCUUAAUAUAACUCCCUGUUAUUUGUGCAAUGCAUGCUGCAUUAUCUUCAAAUAAUAUUGUCGGGUCACCUUUGAUAGAGGAGAGUCCACAUGAUUCCCGAAUAUGCUGGAUCAUAGAUCUUAGCCAUAUACAUUCACGACUUGCUUCAUGAAUUGCUAGUAUUUUUGAAUGAUUUGAUGAUGUGGCCACCAUUGUUUGUUUGACAGAUCUCCAUAAAAUAGCAAUACCAUUGCAAUUAAAUACAUACCCUGUUUGUGACCUACCUUUAUGUGGAUCUCAAAGAUAUCCUGCCUCUGCAUAUCAAGCAAUUGUUGCUUUGAUUCCCUUGAGUAAAAUAAAUCCAUAUCAGUAGUUCCACGAAGAUAACGCAAUAUAUGUUUGAUACCAUUCCAAUGUUUUUGAGUUAGAGCGGAACUGUAUCUUGCUAAUAAAUUGACAGAAAAAGCAAUGUCUGGAUGUGUACAAUUGGCAAGAUACAUAAGUGCACCAAUAGCACUAAGAUAUGGUACUUCAGGACUAAGUAACUCUUCAUCUUUUUCGCAAGGACGAAAUGGGUCAUUUUUCACAUCAAGUGAUCGGACAACCAUUGGAGAACUUAAAUGAUGCACUUUAUCCAUAUAAAAACGCUUCAAAACUUUCUUAAUGUAUGUUGAUUGAUGUACUAAAACUCCAUUUGAAAAAUGCUCGAUCUGUAGGCCAAGACAAAAUUUUGUUUUUCUAAGAUUUUUCAUCUCAGAUUCUUUUUUCAAGUAAUUUGUUGUUCUUGUGAGCUCUUCAGGAGUUCCAAUAAGAUUUAAGUCAUCAACAUACACUGCAAUAAUUGCAAAUCCGAUUUCUGAUUUCUUAAUGAAGAUGCAUGGGCAUAUAGGGUUAUUCACAUACCCUUCUUUUAGCAAGUAUUCGCUAAGGCGAUUGUACCACAUGCAUCUAGAUUGCUUUAAUCCAUACGAGGAUCGUUGUAACUUGAUUGAGUACAUGCUACGAGGCUUUGUACUAUUUGCUCAAGGAAAUUUAAAUCCUUUAGGGAUUUUCAUGUAUAUAUCAUUAUCCAUGGAUUCGUAUAAAUAUGUUGUAAUAACAUCCAUGAGACACAUAUCCAGUCCUUCUGAGACUGCCAAACUAAUUAAGAAAUGAAUUGUGAUUGCAUUCAUGACGGGAGAAUAUGUUUCCUUGUAGUCAAUACCAGGUCUCUGCGAGAAACCUUGUGCUACUAAUUGCACUUUAUAUCUUAUGAUCUCAUUUUUCUCAUUACGCUUUCGUACAAAUACCCAUUUGUACCCAACAGGCUAUACAUCUUUAGGUGUUUGGACUACAGGUCCAAAAACUUCUCGUUUUGUUAAUGAGUUUAACUCUGCCUGUAUAGCUUCUUUCCAUUUUGGCCAAUCAUUUUUAUGUCGAUAUUCUUCCAUAUUUCGUGGUUCGGGAUCUUCAUCAUUUCCUAUGAUAUCAGAGGCCACUUGGAAAGUAAAAAUAUUGUUAAUAACAAUAUUAUUUCGAUCCCAUUUUUCUCCUAUGUGUAUAUAACUUACUGAGAUCUCACAAUUUUCAAGUACCUAUGCCUCUUCAGGGGCUUCUUAUUCAAUAUGUGCCUCUUCGGGGGCUUCUUGUUCAAUAUAUGCUUCUUCAGGGGCUUUUUGCAUUAUUUGUGCCUCUUCUAGGGCUAUAGAUUUAUCAAUUUUAAACUGAUCAGUCAUUUUGAUGGCCUAUUUUAGAGUGCCAAGUUUUUCUUGGGUUCUCCUCUUUCGGGGAGUUACAUCCUUUGAGUCAACAGGUCUACCACGCUUCAGGCGUAUCUUAGAUUCAUUUGUUAACUGUCCUAUAGGGACAUCAAUCCUUGCUGGAGUAUUUGCAGCCGGGAUAUGUGACUUUGUCACUUUCUUUGUAUCAAUGAAUGCAUCUGGUAAUUGAUUUGCAAGAUUUUGCAAAUGAAUGAUCCUUUGAGCUUCUAGUUCAAAUUGAUUUGUACGAGGAUCAAGAUGAGUCAUAGUAGAUGCCUUCCAACUAAUUUCUCAUCGAUCUUCAUGAAUCGACUUUUCUCUCCCCUAAUGAUGGGAAAACACUCUCAUUAAAAUGACAAUCCGCAAAGCGGGCUGUAAAAACAUCGCCUGUCAAAGGUUCAAGAUAUCUCAUGAUAGAUGGAGAAUCAAAACCUACAUAAAUCCCAAGUCUUUGUUGGGGACCCAUUUUAGUGCGUUGUGUAGGUGCAAUUGGUACAUAUACUGCACAACCAAAGAUUCGUAAGUGAGAGAUAUUUGGUUAUUUUCCAAGCACAAGUUGUGAAGGGGAGUAUUCAUGGUAAGUUGUAGGUCGAAUACGGACUAAAGUUGCAACAUGCAUAAUAGCAUGUCCCCAGGUGGAAGUAUGUAAUUUGGUUUUCAUUAUUAAUGGUCGAGCUAUUAAUUGGAGACGUUUGAUGAAGGAUUCUGCUAAACCAUUUUGGGUAUGAGUAUGAGCAACAGGAUGCUCAAUAUUUAUCCCUACUGACAUGCAAUAGUCAAUGAAUGUUUGAGAAGUAAAUUUGCCAGCAUUAUUAAAACGUAUUGUCUUAAUUGGAUAAUCUGGAAAUUGUGCUCGUAAUCUGAUUAUUUGUGCAAGGAGUUUAGCAAAGGCAACGUUACGUGUAGAAAGGAGACAAACAUGUGACCACCUAGUAGAAGCAUCUAUUAAGAUCAUAAAAUAACAGAAUGGUCCACAUGGUGGAUGGAUAGACCCACAUAUGUCCCCAUGUAUUCUUUCUAAAAAGACUGGUGACUCAGAUAUGACUUUAGUAAAAGAUGGUCUGAUUAUCAAUUAACCUUUUGAGCAAGCAGCACAUGAGUAUUCAUUGGGCGUAAGAAUCUUCUGGUUCGUUAAUGGAUGACCAUGUGAGUGUUCGAUUAUUUGAUGCAUCAUUGAAGACCCUGGUUGACCUAGCCUGUCAUGCCAAAGGACAAAAACUUUUGGGUCGUUGAACUUCUGGUUCACGACAACAUAUGAUUCAAUAGACUUUAUGGUUGUAUGAUACAACCCAGAGGAGAAAGCCGGGAGUUUUUCCAUUAUAAGCUUCUGACCAGAUAUAAUGGAAGUAAUGUAAAGAUAUUCUACAUUAUCUUCAUUUAUAGUUUCAAUAUGAUAUCCAUUUCUGCGGAUAUCUGUAAAACCGAGCAAAUUUCUUCUAGAUUUGCUAGAAUAUAAAGCAUAAUUUAUAUGAAAUCUAGUUCCAUUUGGUAACAUUAUGUUUGCUCUUCCAGAACCUUCAACUAAGUUUGUAGUACCAGAUAUGAUACUUACAUUAGCUUUUAUUAAUGUCAAUUCGAGAAAAUAUAUUUUAUCUCGAAGAAUUGUGUGCGUGGUCGCACAGUCUGCGAGACAUACAUCAUUCUCAUUCAUCUUGAGACCAAAUAACACAUGGAUUUCAGAUAUAACAAAAAAAAACAAGGCAUAAUGUAAAUAACAAAAGAAAAUUAGAUGUAAAUAUAAGACAUAAUAAUAUAUUAUUUCAUAUACAAAGUAACAUCAAUCAAUGUUAAUUUUCUCAUCAUUUAUCAAAUGGUUUGUUUUUUCAUUGGGACCUCCAAAGAAAUCAAUGUCAUAGUAGGUUAGGUCCAAUCCAUCUCCAUCGGUAAAGUUCAUCUCUAUCUCUUUUCCUUUUACUUUUAUUGAUGCUUGGUAGAGGUCAACCAAAUGUUUGGGCGUACGACAGGUACGCGACCAAUGCCCCUUCAUAUCACAUCUAUAACAAUUAUUCUCAUGGUUCUUAGGAGGUUUAUCUUGUAAACGCUUCCCAUUUUCAUAUUUUGCCUCAGUAUUGUUCCAUUUCGUAUUGUUCCACUUCUGGUGGUGCAAUGAGGCUUUCAUUUUAUGAGAAUUAUUAUUACAAGAACCAUGGUAUCGGGGAUUUCUUCCAUGACCACAACCACGUCCUCAUCAACUCCACGAGUUUGGGACAAUAUUGCAUUCAUUUUAAGGAAUGAUUCAGAUCCAGUUGGAUGAGAUUAGUGAUUUCUUAUCAAAAACUCUUUUUUUUUUUUAAACCUUCAUGGAGAUGAUUGAUUCGUGCCCACUUGGUGUCUCAGCUGAUUCAUGUCCAGCUGGUGCUCCUUGAUUGAGGGAGUAAUCAACAAAAUUUAUAACCUAUUACACCAUGUACUAGGGCAGCAAAGACAAAACUACUAUAGCAUAGUGGCUCUAGGAUCGUUCACUGGGAUGAGUUUUCACUUCACAAAUGAUAUUAAUUCAAAGUUGAAUUGGUGCCUUUUCAUUUCAAGGUUAGCUUUAAAAGAAAACAUAAACUUGAGUUGGAAAAUGUUUGGUUUUAAACUAACCACAAAUAGUAACUGAUUUUACUUACAAAGAAAAGUGUUUCUUGGAGCUCAAAUCACUAGGCUCAGGUUCCUCAUACAAAAAGGGGAGUUCCGGUCACUUGUUUCUUUUCCUCGCAUUAGAGAAUUAACAUAUAGUUCCUUCUCUAACCGGUGUUGUACAGAUGCUUCCUAUUAAUGGGUUCAAACACUAAAUUCCUCUCACUGAUGCACCUUGCAAUGGCUCAUGCCUCUCACCUAGCACUUGCCAUUCAAGAUGAUCUUUAACCUUGGACUUCCCUUCAAAAGCUCGCAAGAGAUAACUAAUGGAUGUCUCCUUGGAGUCCAAAAGCUUACCAAGUGUUGGCUAUUCUAGAAAAUCCUACCUUCAAACCACCUCCCAAAGGCUCGCAAGAGAUAAACUAGUGAAUCUCCAUGGACGGAGAUCACUUGCCUUACCAAGUGUUGGCCCAGGUGAUUUAAAGGCGUUUUAAGUUAACUAAAAAGAUAAAAACCAUUAACGGGUCACACUUUCUCUUCAUUAAAAACUAAAACAACAAAACUUCCAAAUUAUGCAUGUGGAAACUUACCCGGAUUUCGUCACUCCAAGAGACGAAAAGCCUAGCCUCUCAUCCUCUGAGGAAAAAUCCUUAGAGUUUGGUUAGCAAGAAAAUGAAAAUGAAAGAGAAGGAAAAAAACAGAGCAAGGCUCUGUAUAUUCUAUAUAUUUAUAUAUCUAUAUAUCUAUAUAUUUUACAGUGGAUGCAAGGGAAUAUAUAUAGAGACGUUUUUCUAACCUUCCUAACUAAGAAAUCUUAUGGUUGGUGGAUUACAAGGAGAAGAAUGGAAAUUUAUACAAAAAUAUCUGAAGAAAAAUAUCCAAAAGUGUCGGUCGCAACUAUCAGGAAGCUUCAGGAGAACACCCGUGCACUGUGCAAAAUGGCUGCGAAAUUCUUGCAGCAAAAGGGUGAUUUCGCAGCCGUGCAAAAUUCUUCCUUCAGCUUGGAGUGAUUGGGUUCCAAUGGCUGUAACUCCUUCAUUUCAACUUCAAAUCGCGCACCGUUUGAAGCAUUGGAUUCUUGACUUCCUGAGCUUUGAAAUGGUAUAUAGCAUGUAGAAAAUGGACUUCAGGAAGUGCUCCAAAAGUGCGAAAGAAGACUGCAGCUGCUAUCCUCUAUUUUCUUCACUCUGUUUUUCCUCUCUCUGUUGUUCUUUCCUUGCAUACUUUGAACGACUUUGGCAAAGGGCUAUGGAGCUCCAAAGCUUGGUUCUUCAUGAAUUUGAGCUUCCAAAAGCUUUGCCAUGAACUAUAUACAACUCUCCCUCAUUCUUGGAUUGCUUUGGUGUAGCUAAAAGCUAUCAAAAACACCAAAACUUAACACAAUUUGAUUAGAAACGAUUGCAAGGGUCCUUAACAUGUCAAUUGAGUUAAAAGGUAAUAAUUACUACUCAAGAGUGUUUAAAAGAGUUAAUUACAAGCUAUGAAAUAACACUUUUUGAGUAGUAAUCAAUGAUGACGAAGGAAAAUCACUGUUUUUACGCGAUCCUGCAAGGAUGCUUGAUUUCCUUCUUUGAUCACAGCUCCAAGAUUCAUUGCAUUAAGAUGUAUUUUAGCAUCAAAGAUCCAAGAAUGAUAGUUAUUUCCCGAAAUGUCAAGUGCCACAAAUUCGAGUUUUGUGAUAUUCGACAUUGUCAAAUAACUUCAUAUAUAUGACAAAACAAUAUUAUUAAAAUCAAUUAUAAUAACUUGAUAGCAUUGGUAUAACUUUGAUUAUAAACAAAAUCAAAUAAUUUGUUUAUAACUUUUAAGAAUAUGUAACAAAACAAAUGAACAAUAAUAUAAAUAUGUAAAAUUUUAUUCUAUAUAAAUAACUUCAAGUUUAAGAUACGAGAAUUACCUUUAGAGCAAUUCGUGCUGAUAACGUGUUGUGAAAUAAGGACAAAUACAAUGCAAAUCAAAGUAGUAGAGAUGAAAUAUAUCUUACUUUGAUAUAUAAUAGGGAAGAAGAAAUCAGAUAAGAGAGUUGAGAAAGUUGAGAGAAUGAAAAACAGAGAGAAUGAGAGGAAGAGAAUUUCUUUCUUUUUCUCCGGAUGUAUAUUACAGGAGAUGGGAAGCCCUUUUAUAGGCUUUCCAAAUGGCUUCCAUUAAUAUCCCCAUUAAUGAAUAUUAAUGAAACUCAUAAAUAACAUUAAUGGUUUCCAUUAAUGAGCAUUAAUAGAAGUCAUAAAUAAUACUUAAUUAACAUUAAUGUGGUGGCAUUCAUUACUUCAAUUAUAACAAGCACUUAUUUUUCUAGUUAUGUAUUAUCCCUGAUUUUGUAUAUUGUCUUAUGUUAUUUAAGUUUUGAUUUCUAUUGAAUGCUUAGAAAGUUUUUAGGAUUUAGUUUUUUUUUUUUCUAUUGAAUUCUUAGAAAGUUCUCAGGAUUUAGUUUUUCUUUAUCUUCAUGUCAUUUAGCAUGUUGUACUAUUUAUCUAAUUUUAUUAAAAAUCAAAUUUUGAAAAGUUUUGGUUUAAUUUAAUUUUCUCAACACUAUUCAUUUCAUUAGAAUUUUAUUAAAAAUAAAUUUUGAAAAGUUUAGUUUGAGUUUUAAUUUUUCGGUAAAAUCAAAUUUUAAAAAGUUAGUUUGAGUUGUAAUUUUCUAGUACUAUUUAUUUCAUUAAAAUUUUAUUAAAAAUCAAAUGAAAGGUAGGUUUUGGGAUCCAAGUUCACCUUUUCUCUUUUUUUUUUUUAAAUACCUCUAGGAAAGAAAUAAAAAAUCCUUAUUUUGUCUAUAUUGAUUGAAAUUUACUAAUUCACAUGGUCUCUUUUUUGUUUGCCCUAAAAUUAUUUUCAAAAGUAUUUAAAUCAUCAAAAGGCUUUAAAAAAAAAUUAUCCAUUCAAGGUUUAAGCAAAGAACAUAUUUUCUUUUAAAAUCAUGCAACUCAUUUCAUCUAAGUUGCAUUCUUUAUUUUUCGGUUUUUUGAAACUUUGUUUUCAUUCACAUAAGUUUAAACUUGUGCUCUCAAGCUAAUGAGAAUACUAGGUUAAACUUAUGAAUAUUCAAUGGAGACUUGAUGGAACCCUUACAUCAAAGAUUUUUAAAACUCAUGUUUGCUAUCAGUUUCAACUCAGCCACCGACCCUUUAUUAAAAAAAAAAAUUUGUUCUUGAUUGCUUGGAGUGUUUUUUUUUUUUUUUCAAAAAUAGUAUGAUGUUCCUUAUUCUUUGUAGUUGAUUUUGGAAGAAUGUUUCAACCAAAAAGCUUUUCUCAAAGUUGAGUUAUGAUAUUUUCUUUCCACACAUUAUAUUUAGCUUGAUACUAUACACACCGUGCAUGCUAGGAUUUAGAAUUUUACUAUUUGAAAUUGUUAUUUACUCUAGCCUCAUUUAUCUUAUGGAAGCACUUUGUAAAUUACUUUUGCUAUUCAAGUACGCCUCCUCACCAUUGAUCUCUUAAUUUAACAGUUGUGUAUGAUUCAUGUGUGAACGUCCCUUGCUAACUCUACUUUAUGUUUGUGAUUAACAAAGCUUACAUGUUUGUUUAAUAUAUUAUUAUAAUUUAGGUUAACACCUUAGCCUUUCCUAGUGUCCCUAAUCAAUUAGCUCAUUGUUAUAAUUUCCUCAAUUUAGUAAGUAGAGACCUUUUUAGGGCCUAGAGGGGUGCUUCCUCUGUGAGGUACCUUCCCAAUAGGUAACUAGAUUCUCGGACCAAGACUUGGGUUUUUCAAAGACAUGCUUUUCCAAAACUUAAGGCGUCAUUUUUUUAAGGGCUAUAGUUUCUUAUUUUAUUUAUUUAUUUUUAAAAUAAUAAUAAUAAUAAUAAGCAACGAAUCCAAUUUUCAUACAAAUAAUAGUUUUUUCACAAAAAAAAAAAAACAAGUAUUGUUGACGAGUGGGGACACACAUGAGAAAUUUAGGUCCACAAUAAGACUUUUUUUUUUCCUUGAAAAUUGUAUUUACUUCAUCUUAUGCUUAGAUCUUGUAGCCAUAAGGUCUUAGAUGCAUGCACUCAUGAUCCCAUCCUAACAAGUGGUGUGAGAGCACUAGGAUAGGAUUGACCUACUCAUUAGGAUUGGGCCUCUAAAAGCAAGACAUGGUAUAACAAAAUUAGACUUAACCACCCCCUUGUUAUCCUUUUGGUGUAUUAACAUUGAUUUGAGCAUUCAACCUAUGUCUCUUACUUUGUACAUAACUUAUGCACAUUAGGAGUUGCAUAGAAGAUACAAGUUGUGGGUUCCUUAUAAGUAGAUAAGUUGUCCACAGUUGGUUCAUAGAUUUAGACAAUCUAGUAGAGACUGUAGUGCACCACAUUCUAAUUUGAGGGAUGAGUUAUCUUGACCGUUGGGAUGGGUUUCCCAUGGUGAGUGCACUAGUGUAUGUGAUGCAUACUAGACAGGACCUACAGUGAAUCAUGAUAUAAGGCUAUCAAGUGUCAUGAUUCACCAAACUACUAUACCACAUGGACUCUCAACCUUGAGAGGAUAUUGAGCAUGUGCUGAAAUCAAUAGGAGGCUUUAACCUAUGGGUGAGACCCUAAAGUGGUCAUAUAUCCCUAUGAAUUGGGUCACUGUUGAUAGAGGUUGGUGGCAAUAGGUAUCUUAAUAGAGGCACCAUAAUAUCUCAUGGGAUUGAGACAAUGUGUCCCCUUAGGUGAUCCAAAUGACAUGUGAACAUGAAAUAGAUGGCCAUAGUAAUUUCUUUAGUGGAAUUUGACAUAUGCUAGCUUCUAGGAGAUGGAGUAUGUUAGUUGAUUAGAUAAUAAGUGAGAUAUGUAACUCAAGGAUUUGAGAGAUAAUGUUGAUAGGUGAUAACACUACCUUGUUAGAUUACGAACACCAAUUCAUGAAGAGUCUUCAUGUAGUGGAUAGUAGGUCAUGGACCCAAGCCUCGUCUCAUUGUUAUUUACGUUGGGUACUAGAGUGCAGAUGAUUCUAUUUAGUGAAAUGUUGAAUCAACUUUAGAAUUAGAUUAUAAGGGAGCCAAUACUCCUAUGGGUCCUAGUGGUCCCUGUUUUAAGCUCAUAUACCAUGAUGAUAGGGCUUAUGAGGGUUAGAUUGACUCUAGGUUCAUUUUGGUGCAUAAGGGUGUUUUGAUAAUUAUGUCAAGUUGCAUAGGGGAUAGUGAACAAGAUCUUUGGUUUAGGUUAAUUGAUUAAUUAGAUUGCUCUAUGUGGUUAAUUAAUCAAGUAGGACUCGUUUUGGGCUAGAUAAAGUGGCCCAAGCCUUGAUGGACUUAAGUCACUUAAGCCCAAUGGGUAAUCCUAUAAAUACCCCUCUAUAGGUUAGGAUUUCCUAAUGACUUGUGGUGAGAGUUGUCUUCCAACCCUAGAGAGAGAGAUCCAUAACCUCCUCCCUUAUAAAUCCCACACUUUGGAAUGCCAAGAUCGUGGUUCAAGUCAUCAAGCAGAAUAUCUUGGGUGUACAAGACCUUGGAGGUAGGGCUACAACACUUGGACGUGCAUAGGCCGUGUGCACAAAAAGCGCAUGGGACACACACAAACCGUGUGCACGGGAAUCGCAUGGGACUCGCACAUGGGGAGCAACAUGAGGAAAGACUCUCUGGUUUUUCUAGACAUGUUUUUCACCACAAAAAUUUGAUUUGGGAACAUCCAAAUCUAGGUAUGAGUAUUUUUUUUCUCUAGAUUUUUAUUGUAAUAUGGUUUUUAUAGUCAUAUGUUUCUACUAUAAUAAAUUUAGAGAAGCCUAGAAUAGUUUACAUGCAUCCUACAAGAUUUAGGGUAUGGGAACAAAGUAAUUCAAGGUUCCCAACACUGUAAACUUUGUUUAUAGGAGUGUUGAUUUAUCCCAUGGCCCAUAAGGGUGAAUACAUGGACAUUUAUUUUUAAUAUGAAUGAAUGAAUGAAUGGAUGCAUGUAUUAUUAUUAUUAUUAUUAUUAUUAUUAUUAUUAUUAUUAUUAUUAUUAUUAUUAUUAUUAUUAUUUGUAUCUCUUGGGUUGUAAACUUUAUAAGGAGAAUAGAAUUUUAGAUUUCUCUAUAAAAUCUUUUUCUUUUAAUGGAUGGGUUGUAAACUCCAUUUUGAGAGCAUAAUGGCUUGUAUUCUUUGUAAAAAUUUUAACUUUGGUCCAUCUAUAGUGACCCAAAAGAAAGGAUCAAAGCUUGUGAUUCAUUUAGGGGCAUUCAUAUAGAAAAACCAAUCAAGAAAGGUGAGUUUUUUCGGGACAAAAAUGAAAAAAAAAUUGAGAAUCAAGCUCUCAGCAUAGUAGUCCAAGUGAUAAUGCUCAAGCGCUACAAGCCACACCUUAAGCACUUGAGUGCUUCUGAAGGUGGCUCGAGCACUCGUAUUAUGGUAGCUACAAUUUCUCCAACAUGGGUUUAUUUUUUAUUUUUUUUUAUUUUAAGGUUUUUCUAGAAUUUUAGGUCUUUUUGUUUCUGUAACUUAAUUUUGGUUGCAUGGGUAUUUAGGCAAUUUUUUGAAUAAAUUAAAUUUUAAAUAUUUUGCUAGCUACCAAAAUUUGGGACAAGAUCCCUAAGGCUGGGGGAAAUUAUUUUAAUUUUCCUUUUUAUAUUCUUAAGCUAUAUAUAUAUAUAUAUAUAUAUAUAUAUAUAUAUGGCAUGUUGUGCAUGAAAAUUGGAAUUUUAGUAAUUUUUGAUAGAAAUAAAUUUCCUUGGAAAUUAGAUUUCAAAAGUAUAUUUUUAUUAAAUUGGAAAAGUGGUGACUAAAGAAAGAACUUUUUAUGAAAAUAAAAUUUAAAUUAAAGAGAGCAAAAUUUCAUUUUAUAAAAUCAUUUUGAAGGAUUUUAAAAUUUAUUGACUUAAAUUUAUUUUAUGAGUAUUCCUGAAAAAUAAAAGUUUUCUCUCUAGAUAAGGUGCUCUCUAUAUUUUAUUUUAUUUUAUUUUUAGAAAUUUUCUUAUUUUGAGAAUUUUGAAUUAGAAUAAUAAACAAUUUUGGAAAAUUUUGAGAUAGACAAUAAUAAGAUAUUACUAAAAAGUUUUGGAAAUUUAGUAAUUUAAUGGGAAAUAAAUUUCUAUGAAAAUAUUAAUUUCAAGAUAGGACAUUUAUUAAAUUGGAGUAGUGUAUGAGAAAAGAGAAUUUUUAAAAUUUGAAAGCAAUUUUGCUAUCAAAUUAAUUUAGGAUAAAAUUCUCUUAUGAAAAUUUUAUCAUUUUCAAAGUUCCAUUCUCUUAUCUCCUUAUGUUUCUAAUUAGGAAAUUAAUAAUUUUGAAAAUUUUUAUAGAAGAUAAUUAUUUAUCAAGGGAAUUACCAAGGAAUUUAAAAGCUCCAAUUAACUCAAAAGAUAAAGUGGGCAAGGCCUUAGCAAAGCCCACAACCUUCAUUAUCAAGUCCAUCUUGAUUUUUUGUCAUUGUCACCCCAACGGUGAGUUGGCUAAGAAAUCAAAGGAUAUGAACUUUCCAAUUGGCGAGACUAGAUAUGUUAGUAGAGUAACCACCUCAACAAUGGUUUUUUUUUUUUUUUUUUAACUUGGUAACGUUAAUAUUAAAGACAAUAUUCAUACACUUAACUUAGAAGUGGUUGAAUAAUCCAAUAUGGUCCCACUUGCAUAAUAAAGGGUUAAAUAAAAGGAUAUGUUAAUCUUGCCUUAGAGUUUUAAAAUAGAAAGAUUAAUAUGAGAAGGUCUCUACCUAGUAAUAAGAUUAAAAUAUUAAAGACAUGUUGUUUAUUUUUGUUACAUUAAUCAUGUCUUUUAAUCCAAUUACUCCCAUUCUCACAACAAAAAUUAAUUAAACAUAAUUAUGUGGAUUAGAAGAGAAACUUGGAUAUAGUGCUUACAUCAAAGGAGCUUGAAUGGGUAACUCAGGAAUUUGCUCUAAAUAAUCCUAAUAAGUAGCCCUCAAAAGAACAUGGAGAGGCAUAUAAUAGAUGGCAUAAGGCGAGAUGAGAAUGCCAAGUGUCUUAUACUUAGGUCUUUGGAUAAUUUGUUGCAACAGCAACACAUGUCUCAUGCAAAAAGUUAUGAUAUUCUCUUUAUCUAGGAAGAGAUGUUUGGUAAUAAGAAGAGUUAUGAUAGACAAGCUACCCUAAUGACUAUCAUGAACACCAAAAUGAUAAAGUGAAUUCCCAUAAGAGAUUAUAUGCUAUGUAUAAUUACACUCUCAUAGAGUGGAGAUUUUUGGAUCUAGCAUUGUCAAGGAAACCAAGGUUAAUAUGAUCUUAGAGACCUUAUUAGAUUCCCUUAGGUAGUUCAAACUCAACUAUUUUAUGAAUAAGAUGUAGAUGAACUUGUCAGAACCUAUGAGGGAACUCUAAUUGACUAAGGAAAUUCUAAAGGAUUAAAAGGAUAUUCAUAUGGCAAUCAAUCAAAGGUUUUUCAAGUUCUUCUACCAAGAAGAAGAAGAACAAGAGUAGAAGUACCAAAUAGAAGGGAAAGUUCAAGGCUUGGGAAAAGAAGAGCAAAGGAAAGGGCACAUGCUUUGGUUGUGGUAAAAAAAUAAAAAAAUAAAAAAUAAAAAAUAACCAUUGAAAAAAGGAGGAUCCUAAAAUAUAGAACAAAAAACAAGGUAUGCAUCAUAUUCUCAACUAAAUCAUGUUUAGUAAAUUUCACCAAUUUUUGGUAAGAUUUUGAGGUUAAUGACUAUAUUUGUAAUUCUUUAAAAGGGUUUCACAUAAGGAAAAGGUUGAAUGAUGGGAACAUAUAUUUGACUCUAGAUUCUAAUGUAAGGAUAGUUGUGCAAGUAGUGAAAGAUGUUACCCUUCUUUUAAAGAAGAAAUGUCUUUUAUACUCAAAGAUUGUCUUUAUAUUCCUAACUAUAGAAAUAAUUUGAUUUCACUUUCUAGUUUAAAUAAAUGUGUCUCUUUGGUUUCUUUUAAUAAAGAUGUUAUUAUUAGAAAGACUGUUGUAUUGUAAAUAUUGACACUGACAUGAGAAGAAAUAGUGCAUCAUCAACAUUAGCACCAUAUUACAAUUGAGAUCAUGUACAACAAAAAGGUUCAUUACAACUUAAAAAAAGAUCCUAUAAUUAAAGUUGUUUUUUUUUUUUAAUUAUUGAUCAUGAGAAUGAACAUGAGGACAUUUUUAAUGAGAUGUGGAUGUAUCCAUGAUUUUACUUGGUUGGUUAAUAAAACUUUACGGGUCCUUCACAAAUUAAAAGAAUUUAAUUUUUAUUUAUGCCUUAUUUUUCACAAAUGCAUUCCUAAUUGUUUAUAUAAGGGUUUAAAUUUCAUUACUUUUAUUUGAAUAUUAUGAACACACUAGUUAAUUUAUUGGUCAUUUCUAGAAUAGCAUAAUUUACCUGAUGAGCAUAGAAAAGAAGUUAUAAUAUAUGUAUUAUGUGAAUAUCAAUAAUCAUAUUUUGGUGGUUCACUUAUGAUCCCUACUUUUCUCUACUUGUAAGUUGAGGCUAAUAUAUAAGAAUAGCUCAUCCAAUGUGUUUCUAAAUACUCACACUCAAAUGUGAAAUCAAGAUGUUCUCCUUUUGAAUUUGAUUGCUUGUUCUUCAUUUGUCAUUCUCUUUCCCUUUGAGAUUAAAAAAACAAAAGAAUAAAUGGAGUAGCAAAUUAAAAAGAGUGUCAAUUCAACUAGAUAAGAGUCUAAUCAAAAUUGGACAUUUCCUUGUAGCGUCUAACUAGCAUGAAUGAAUAAGGAUGUAUGAGUUGAUCAAUCAAGUUUUGGGCCUUUAAAUAAUCAUAUCAAAUUUUCACUUUCAAUUGCUUGAGAUAUUUCACUUGGAUAUCAAUCAAGCUUGGGGUUAAGAAAUUAAAUUAUGUAAUUUUCUAUAAUAAGCUAGUUUCACAAAAUGUUUAAUGCUUCAAAAGUAAUAACUUAGGAACUAAAGAAUCAAUCCCAACAUCAGCUUUAGUUAACAAAUGCAAUGCCCUAAUUUUAUAUUUUUGCUCAUUUGAAAUACAUAGGAACAAAUACCAACAUGCAUCUUAAAGUAUUCCAAAACAAAAUACUUGAAAUUGAAUUGUUCUUUCCCACCUAAUUUGAUUGCUCGUAGCUUGGAGAUUCUAUCUUUUAAGACCAAGAAUUAUGGAUAGUACAAAAGUGUGAGUUCAAAUUGGCAUGACUUUAAUCAAAAUUUAGAAAUUUGUUUGAAGUAUUUGACUUGCCUUGAUUAAUAUGGAUAACCAUGGUUUAACUGGUGGAGGUCGGGCAUUUGACAUUAUGUAUUUAGCAGCUUGGAAUAUCCCAUCAAAACUUGAUGUGCACUAACUUAUCCAACAAAUUGUUUGAUCUUCAAAAAAAAUUAACAAUGCAAUCAAGCUUAUCCUACAAAUUGUUUGGUCAACAUCAACAAUUCUCUUACUUGAAAUUAGCGUCUUGUACAGCAUAUCCAAUGGACAAAUUUGCAAAGAAGCUCCAGCCACCUGUGCAUAUGGUCCAUUUCAUGGUCUUGGGCAUCAACACCAUUACCAUCAAUAUUCUGCAUUGCGCCAUCACAGCUUCUCUGGGCAUCAGUAUUAGUAUCUUCUACUGCUGAUCUGGUAUCACAGCUUCUCUGAGAAUGAUUACUAUUGGUAUCUUGUACAGCUAAUCCCCAUGAGAACUGCUGCCUCGUACCAUUGUGAGAUUGUUGUGUUCUUAAUCAUGGGCAUACAGAAAGUGGAAGCCACACCUCUCCACUUUCCCUGGUUUAUUACUGGAGUGGCCAUAAAAUGAAGCUUUCAAGGUUCUCCAUUCAUUUGAGUGAUAUUUCUUUGGAAUAUUUGACUUAGAAUAAUAUAUCAACCACCCUUGAUUUGAUUCAUCUUCAUCGUAGCAGCAUUCACAAGAUUGUUUAAACCGGAUAACAUCCAACAGAAAAGAUGCACUGUCAUGAUCGAAAUUCAAUUUACAGUUGAAACUCCUAUGUUUUGCGGUCUCAGUAUCAAGUGGAACAUGAAGAGAGCACAGAACAAAGCCCAAGAAGUCAUCAUUUUCAUACCAACUCCAAGGAAGUUCCAUCGUUAUUUGGAACCCGCUUUUCUGAUGGCUUAUCCACUCGGGAAUCCCAUUACUUUCAGGAAUAAAAGUUUGGACAAUGGCUCCAACUUCAACCCCCUGCACAAAAAUUACCCUCUAAAUUUGUGUGUCCAUGAAAAGAAAUGUUAAAUGCUAUAUGAAAAUCAUACCUGAAUUUGGGAUUUUAAACAUUUGAAUAAAGAAGACCAGAGUAGACUUGAUUGACUGGAUAAAUUUUCCAGGGAUGUGCAGUGAUGGGCAUCUAGAUACGUUAAACCUGAUGGAAGUUCUGGAAUAUGUUGAAGCAUCUUGCAGUGACUCAAGUCAAAAUGUUUUAGGUUGUAAAGUUGACUGAUCCCAUCAGGUAUGCGACUAAAGUGGUUCCCUCCCAGAUAUAACAUUACCAGUGAUGAUAGGUAAUAAAUUUCACUGGGAAAUUCCCUUAGAUUGCAGGCUUGAAGCAUUAAUAUCCUCAAGGAGCAUAAACCGGACAAAGACGGCAAUUGAAAAUUCAUUGAAUCUAAAUACCCAACAAAAAGAUGUUCUAAAGAUUGCAGUCUCCCCAAGUUGUCUGGCAAUUUGUUGAAGUUUGGACAGCGACUGACAACGAGAGUUUUAAAAGAUGUCAAAUUACAAAUACUCUCAGGAAGAUUCACAAGAUUUUUGCAUUGUGAUAGAAACAAAGAUUGAAGCCCUCUUAGACGUUGAAUUGAUGAUGGUAUCUCUCUUAUGGCGGUUCCAUCUAAAUAAAGCUUUCUCAAUCUCUCCAUAUCUUGCACGAUUUCUGGAAAGCUCUCUAGUUGUGAACAGCCAGAGCAGGAGAGAGCUGCAAGGGAUUUGAAACCGAAAAUGCUACUGGGCAGACUCGUAAGAUUUUUGCAAUCCCGCAGACAUAAACUAUCAAGUUCCAAGGGAUUCUCCAUAAUGGGUACUUCAUUCAUAUCACUUCCCUUAAAACACCGCUUCCGUCGGCAUGUCACAUCCUGUUGGCAUUCACUGCAUAUUCUAACAUCUGCAUCCUCUGUCUGUAUCGUUAGUGGAUGGCUUUGUUGAAGGUCUUGGGAGUAUAUAAGGCGGACUCCGCACUCCUUUACUUUCAAGGCUUUCUCAGAAAUAUUGAAAAAGUCCUGAAAUGAAGUCCCAAUGAGAGUCCAUUGAUCAGAGUGAAACCACUCCUGAAUAGCCGCCUUGGAAUAGCAAACCACCCACAUUUGACCUGAUACACUCUCAUUGUCUUCGUCCUUGCCUUCUUUAUAGCAAAAACAAUUGGAUUCAAACAGGGAAAGAUCUAUCAUUCCAACUCCAUCACCAUGGACACUCAAAGAACACUUCAGGCUACAAGAAUGCGUAUGUUCAUAUUCAUUCUUACUAAAAGAUCCAGCCACAGAUUUAUCAUCUGUUUCAUUCUCCCAUGUAUGAGCAGAUUCAUCCUCAGAUUUAUCGUCUGAUUCACUCUCGGACCCAUGUGCAGAUUCCUUUCCGGGUAUGUCCUCAGAUUCAUCAUGAAGUGGAACAUGAACACAGUAUAUAGCAAAUCCCAAAAACUCAUUAUUUUGGUACCAAUUAGCUCUGUUGUCACCAAAUAUCCAUCUCUACGAUACAUCAUCCAUUCUGGAAUUCCAUCACUUCUGGGAAGAACAAUACAAAUUCCCUUCCCAUGGUAGGAAGAAUCGCUAAAACUAGUGCGUUCCCAAUCCUGCACCAAAACACCAUGUAAAUAUAGAGUCUGCAUAAAACAAGUCUGUGACAUGAAAAUUAUACCUUUGCCCAACUGAAGCAAUUGACCAGAGAAUGCAAUGGCAAAAACGGGGCUCUUGAUGAAGUGCAAUUUGAACCAUGGGCAUCUAAAAGCCGUAGACUUGAUGGAAGCUCUGGAAUUUGUUCAAGAUUGUUGCAGUGACUAAGUUAAGGGCUUUCAGCCUUGAAAGCUGAUUGAUGGUAGCAGGUAUGCAACUGAAAUGGCCCCCUUCCAGAUUUAGUUUCUGUAAUGAUGAUAAAUGGCAAAUAUCACUAGGAAUUCCUCCUUCCAUUAUGUUGCAGUUUCCUAGGUCCAAUACUUCCAAUGAUGAUAAGUGGCAAAUAUGAAUAGGGAUUUUGUGGAGCUUUGAACAGUCUUCAAGUAGGAGAGUUUGAAGACCAUUUAGAUGUGAAAUUGAUGAUGGUAAGUCCAUUAUAGCUAUUCCACUCAAAUCAAGCACCCUUAGCUUUCCCAUAUUGCCUUUGAUUUUGGGAAAUCUCUCUAGCUUUGAACAGCCAUUGCAAGACAAAGUUUGAAGGUGUUUCAACUUGUAAAUGCCUCUUGGAAGAAGCUCCAGGUUUACACACCCUGCCAGAUUCAAGGGAAAAAGAAAAACCAAGUUAGUUUUAGUAAUUAUAAUACUGCUGCACCAAACUUUUAAGUACCGUUGUACAACCUUCUAGAGUUAGAAUCUCCAAGUUUGGCACACUUGAGAAGUCUGGGAUUUUGAUGAGAUGAACAGAGUAACUGAGAUCAAUAACCUUCAACUUCUUAUGAAGCUAGAACAAAAUAUUUUUUUUUCAAUAGAUAAGUUUACAUAAACAAUGAAAAUUAAUAUAAAAAAAGUGUAACUAAAUAAUAAUAAUAAUACCUUAUUCCCUCUCCAAAGUUGCUUUAUAUUGUUGUUCCUUAGUAAGAGUUCAACAAGGUUCUUUGCAUGAAAAUUCAUUGGCAAAUACUCUAAAGGGUAUCCAUCCCAAUAAAGAUAUGUUAACUCAUGAGAAGAAAAUUCAAAAUCUUUUGGAAGAUGGUCUUUAAGAAAUAGCUUUCUAUGAAGGCUACUGUAGACCCUCUAUUUUGUCCUCCUAGCAUAUGUCUUAUCAGGUAUUUGUUCGAUACUUUACAGCUUCCCUGGUGACCCAUUACUACUCGCAUAGCCUAUCUUUUCUAAGUCACAUCGGGGACUUUGGUUGAGGGGUUCAUUUAAUCCCAUUAUGACUCUUGGCAGCCCUAAUUUAGACUUAGGCUCACUUAGCCACCUUUGGCCCAUUAGGCACCACCUUAGACACCUUAAACCCACUUAGGCACCUUAAGUCCACCUAGGCACCACCCUAGGCCCAUUAGAUACACCCAAGGUCCAUUAGACAUUCUUUGCAUGGCUUGAGUUGCUCACAUGAUUGCAUGGUUGCAUAGAUUGCAUGACACUUUACUAUUAUUAUUAUUAUUAUUAUUAUUAUUAUCAUUAUUUACUUAAUUAUUUUGUUAAUUUAAUUUGUUUAUUUAUUUUAUAAUUUUCUAAAACACCUUUGGAUUCAUUCAUUAAGUCUAAUUUUCUUUAUGUUUUUGUAGAAAAACUCGCCAAAGAACUCAUCACUGGAGAGAAAAAGGAAGGUUGAAAACGUGUAUUGGCAAGGAUAUUCAGGCGUGAGUCUUUCGGGAAAUAGAGGAUAUUCAGUUGGAAAAAGAAAGAGGAAUUUUCAUGUGUGAUUAUGGAAAGGAAAUAUUCAGCGGGUUGAAGGAUGGAUUCAAGGUGGUUGGAAGAGGAGCGGAGUAUGGAAGGAAAUGAACUAAGAAGGCAAGCAAGUAUGCACCCAUGCAUGUGUUGAUUGUGCUUCUGAUGGAAGGAAAUGAACGAAGAAAGAAAAUUACCAAAGCUGUUUUGGCAUGGAAAAAGGAAAGGUUCAGUGUGUAUUUGGACGGAAUAAAGACUAUGUUCAGGAAGGAGAGUCCUGAUGAUGCUGGACUGACGUGGAUGAUUGAGGCUCUCCGGGCUGGUGAGUUGUCUUCCCAUGUUGGCAGAGUCCUGAAAGAGAUGAGGUGAGAUUAAAGAUGGGAGAGAAGAUCAGGUGGAGGUGUGGAAGAAAGGCAUUGGAAAACUGUGGUUCAUUGGAUGAAUACGAGAAGAAAACAACCGAGUGGGUUUGAAAAGCUUGGGUUUCUUUCAAUUGAUUGGAAUGGGAGACACAAGCUGGUGGUCUUUUGGGGGGGCAUUCUGUUUAUGACCCGGAGCAUUCUGGAGAGAGGAGCUAGAGGAUCAAGAAAGACAACGGUUCUUCUCUUUCAGGAUGGUUUUCAAUCUUUGUUUCUUUUAACGUUGAAAAAUGGCUUUGAGUGUGAGGCCACUUUACCUUCCUCUCAGAAUGAUGGCCUCUCGUUUCUAUACAUAUCCUUCCUCUCCCAUUCUCGUUUUGAUCAUUCCUCGUGGGUUCUGUUUGGUUUCCAAGAAGAAAGUGAAGGAAUAGCACGCUGGUGAGGAAGAUUGAUGCGCCAACCGCAGAACAAAGGGAGAUCUCGACCACGGGAGGAAAAUGGGGGUGGCAUGUCAGAUUUCUCCAGGAAUACGCCCCCAUCAGAAUUUUGGAAGAACAGACAUGCACCAUCAGUUUUCUUCAAGGAUGGCGGACAUGCUGGGGUGGGAUCAGACUCUGUUAUGGAUGCCAUUCAACAAAGAAACCAGCCACAAGAGGUCUCUUUCACACACUCAGUACGCUGUCAAAGAACGGGAAGGCUACCAAUCGGUCCUAGAGAGGAUUGAGGACUGAUCAUAUUGUUCUUUGAGUGGAGAAUGAACAUUCAGCAUGGGUUUGGAAAAAAACAGUAUUGUAACUCAGACGUUUAUGAAGGUUUGUGGAAAGAGGGAGUACAUGAAGGUUGUGGUAAGUAUGCUUGGAAUUCGGGAAACAUUUAUAUUGGAAAUUGGAAAAGGGGCUGCCACUUUGAAGAUCCACAACACGCACUCCACUUGGAAAAGCGGUCCACAAGGGAGACCUUCGCGGGCUGCAUCCUUGGAUCUGCACAUGCACUAUAGGAGAGAGGGCGUGACCAUCCAAAAUGAGGAAAAGAGAUUUUUAUUAAUCUCCAUGGGCGCACUAUGAGUUUGAUGAAAAGAAAAGUGACAGAAUUCAAUUUUUUUUUUUUUGGAACACAACCGUACAGUGGGGAUUCUCCAAGGCUGCCACUUUAGGGUGAAAUUUUUUUUUUUGAAAGAAAAGUGGCAACAAGCUGCUACUUUAGGGUGAGUUUUUUUUUGAAAGGAAAGUGGCAGCAUGCUGCUAGGGUGAUUUUUUUUUGAAAGGAAAGUGGCAGCAGGCUGAUACUUUAGGGUGAGAUUUUUUUUAAGAAAAGUGGCAGCAGAUUGCCACUUUAGGGUGAGAUUUGUUUUAAAAAAAAAAAGUGGCAGCAGGUUGCACUUUGAGGGGUGAGAUUUUUUUGAAAGAAAAAUGGCAGCAGGUUGCACUUUUAGAUGGUGAGAUUUUUUGAAGGAAAAGUGGCAGCAGGUUGCAUUUUAAGGGGUCCACGCCUCAAUUUCCAUAAAGAUCUUCAUGGUAUCUUCAAGAGAACCAUGAACGCCACUGAUCCCCAAAGCGAGUAGGCUGCAUCUUCCAAAGGUAAGUGAGUUUCCUUGUUCUUGAGUUUUUGAUUUCUUUUUUAUCCAUUAGUUUAUUAGUUUUUUUAGAUUGAAAAUUAGAGCUUUGUUUGCUAAUUUUUUACUUUAUUAAGUUUUCGAGUCUCUAAAGUUUUAGUCGAUUAAUUUAUUUGGUUUUAUGUCAUCAUCAUCUUGUUUUUAUUUAAUUUUAGUUCAUGGGUUCGUCCUAAUUAAUUCGUGUGAUGCCUUAAAAUUUUAAUGGAUUAAUUUAUUUGAUUCAAUGUCAUUAUCAUCAUGUUAUUUUAUUCUUUUUUUAUUUUCAUCUUAGUUGAUUCAUGUGAUGCUUUAGGUUUUUAGGUGAUUAAUUCAUUUGGUUCUAUAUCAUUAUCACUAUGUUUAUUAAUUUCAGUUAUUUUUUUUUAUUGAUCAUAUUCGGUUUAUGAGUCUUUAGAAUUUUAAUUAUCUAAUUUAUCUGACCCCUUGUCAUUAUAUCCAUGUUUUAAGUGUGUUAAGCUCUAGUUCCUGAUUGAUCCUUACUCAGUUCGGAUGUUUUAGAAUUGUAAGUUCUUAUGGUACUAUAUUUAACAUUACCUUAAUCAUAGGUUUGUGUGUUCGACUAAUCUGAUUUAAUUAUUGAUUAUAUCCUCAAUUUAUGCGCUUGACUAAUCUUUGUUUGUUCUUGAUUGAUAUCUGGUUUACUUUAUUUGAUCUAAGGCCAUUUAGUUAUUUUCUUUGACAUUUGUUCGUUUAUAUUUAAUUCAUGGAGGCCAUCGGAAAAUUGUGAAGAUUGGCCUCCAUUCACACCAUUUCAGUUUGCUUGGUUGCCAAAAAUUUUACUUUAUGAUUUUGUUUCCGUUUGUUUUGCUUGGUAUAUUGUUUCUCAUACGUUUUAUUGUUCUCAAAUUAAUUUCUCUUAUUUUAAAAUAUAACACUUUUCUCGAAAGAUUCCUUUAAAAAUCUAUUUUUAAAAAAUUCAUCUAGAGUUCUUAGAAUCAAAAUCUCGUCUUCUUAAAUAACAUGCAACCAUGUUUUGAUCGGUUCGCAUCUUUCUUAAAUUUCAAAUAAAAUUACAGUUUUAAGUAAGACAUGAAUCCAAGCUUGUGGUCCCAAACAAAUGGGAUAAUUCCAGGCUAGAUUUGUGUAUAUCAAUCGGGGAAUUGGUGAAACCCCUACAUAAAGAAAAUUUUCAAAACUCAUCUUUGUUGCCCCCUUUGUUAUUUGAUGAACUCAUGUCUAUUUAUUUUUUUAGGAAUUAUAUAGAAGAUAUAAGUGAUAAUCAAUGGUUUCGUAUACUGUGAUAAUUUUUUUUUCUAUGCUAAUUAGAUAACAAGCAUGCUAGGACUUCUUAUUUUAUUGUUUGUUAUCUAACCUCUCAUGUCUUGUGGAAGCACAUUACAAGUUAUCUAUGCUAUCUAGGUACGUCUCCUGUCACCUACCUUCUAAAUUUUGUAAAUAUGAUUGUCAUUAUGAAUUAUACCUAUGUUUGAGAAUGCUUGGGAUGUCUUGAUAUUUGCUACAUUGUUUGAUCAUUCAUGAUAAAACGCAUGUUGAGUGAUAUAUUAUCUAAACUAACCAUUGAUGUUUUAUGAUAGCACUUAAGAAGUGGUCCAGGUACGCAUCCUAACUCUCCUUUAUGAGCGUGAUUGGUUUUUCUUGUUUGGCAUGCUAGUUUUGAGAUCACCUACCUAGGUACCCUCAAUUAAUCAAUUGAUUGCCACAUUUCCUUCAACAUAGUCAAUAGAGACUUUUGUAGGGCUUAGAGGGGUGCUACCUUCUAGAGGUACUUUCCCAAUAAGUAACCUGAUCCCCGACCCUAGACUCGGGUUUUUCAAAGACAUGCCUUUCCAAAAACUAUGGAGUCAUAGGGUUUUAUUUCUUGUUUUAUUUUCCCUUUAAAAUAAAAUAAAAUAAGUGGCGACUCCGACUUUUCCAAAAACAAAAUUUUCACCAAAUAAAAGCGAGUCUCGCUGAUCGAGUGGGGGCGCACGUGAGAAAUGCGGGUCCAUAGCUACGGAUUUUAAGCAAUCUAAGUCUAUUCAUCUCUUUGAAAGAUUCUCUAUUCAGAUGUGAUGGAUUAAAUUUACAUCUAUCUAGGAAUAGUCCUUCAAUUGCUUGUGCCCCCUGAAAAAUAUAAGACUGUAAGUGAAGCACAAGAUGUAGAAAACUUAAAUGAGUCAUAUAUAUGGUAAUUAUUUUCUUAAAAAAUAAUAAUAGUAUUGAAGCUUGCAUACAGACACAUUAAACUAAGUUCAAGCAUUUGACUCUUACCAUAUUUCUUGUUAGCACAUGAUAGGCAUCAGAAUCCCACAAUCUACUCCUUCUUCCAAGGUUUUCAAGACAUUCUUGACGAAUAAUUUCCCAACCCAUCUGUUGUAUUAAAUCAUGCAUAUCUAGCAUGUUUUUUGAAAUGGUUAAGAGGCAUCUAUCAUCUAGAGUUGUUAUUCCAUACUCUGCAUAAGGACCCAAUAUUCUUGACACAUAAUCUUUGUCAUUCCCUUUGAAAAAACAUGCAACAUCCAAAAAUAUUCCCUUGUCUACAUCAUCAAGUCCAUCAAAACUUAUUCUAAGCACAUUGUGAAUUUCCAUGUGGGGUAUUGUUUUUAGCUUACACAAUGCACUUUCCCAUUCACUUCUUGUCUUUCCAAAAAGAGACCCACCUAAAACUUUAAGUGCUAAUGGAAGGCCAUUAGCAUAAUCUAUGAUAUUGUAUGAGAGGUUUUUAUAAACUUCUUUGGGAAGAUUGUGUUGAAAGGCCCACAAACUAAAGACUUCAAUAGCUUCUUUCUUAUUUAAUUUUGAAACCUCGUAUGAUAUAUCUACUCCAUAUUGAGCAAGCACUUGUUUGUCUCUAGAUGUAAUGAUGAUUGUACUUUUGGCCUCAAACCAAUCCUUCUCUUCAGCCAGAUAUUCUAGUUGCUUCAACUCGUCUACAUCGUCAAAAAUAACAAGAACUCUAUUGGAGCUGAGACACCUCUUUAUCAUACUAAUUCCUUCAUCAAUAUUGUUUACUUUAAAAUUUUUCCCCUUUAGGAUACCAUGAAGAAGUUCUUGUUGUAAUUGAAGUAUAUCACCUUUGGAUCUCUCUCUGAUAUUUUUAAGAAAGCUACUACCAUCAUAUUGAUAUGAGAUCUCAUUAUAAAUAGCCUUAGCGAUAGUAGUCUUACCAACCCCACCAAUUCCACAUAUCCCAACCACGCUAACCUUAUUCAAGUUAGUGUUCAUCAAUGAUUUCAAUUUUUCCAAAUGAACACUAACUAUGUUCUUUCCCACACUUAAAGGUUGAUGGUUUAAUCUUCUAAUGAUUGUAUUAACAAUUUCUUUGACAACCUCAGUCUCAUACCUAUCAAUUAUAUAAAUUAAGUACAAUGAUGAGUUAGAAUGAGUUGCAAAAUAUAAUAAAUGUACAAUAAAUUUAGUUGUGUAUGGUAGUGUCCAAUAUUACUGAAUUAGUAGCAAUGGAAUGCAAAAGAAAGGGGCCCUGAAGCCAAUUUACUUACAUAUUUAAGCUUCAAAAUUUGCAAGUAUCAAACUACUAAUGUGCCAAGUUGCAAAUUUUCAAUACUCUUACUGUUGGACCAUUGUUUAGGACUCCUCUCUGAACAACCGAAUGACUUCUUUCAACUUUUAUUUCACAAAGAAGUUGCUUAUGAUUCCUCAAUUUCACUUGUCUUUAGGUUCUAUUAACUUAUCAAUACUCUUACGAUUGUUGCAAGGACUUCAUUUUUAGUCUGCCAAUUAAUUUUGCAUUUCCAUAGAGGAAUGAGGAAACAAGUGAAUGUAGAAAAUUUCAUGAUUUGCUUGAGGAUUAUGAACUUAAAUAUGAUAGAAGAAGUGUCAAAGUACACUUUAUAGAAAAUUAAAAGUUAAAUUUUGAUACUUGUACUUUUGGACCAACACAGGGAAAAAUUGAAGUUAGAAUUUGUUAACAUUUUCAUAUUCAUGAGGAACUAAAGCUUCAUUAUGAGAAUAAACUUACAAGUAAAAUCAUUCCAAAAGAGAAUGAUAGGAAUGUUAAAGGGCAGAGUUUAGGGUAAAUUAAUCCAAACGAGCUUGAAAGGUCAAAGGGACAAAAUUGUUACUCCCUUCAAACAUAAUAAAAAUCCAUCAUGAAGAUUAUAGAACAAACUUAGCAUUGAUAUUUUUGCAGUGAGUAUGCAUUGAGUGCAUGGGAAUUAAGACUUUUUGAAGAAUAAACACAAAAAAAAAAAAAAAAACAAGCAAAAAUAUAAAUUGAAACUUAGGAAAUCGAGGGAGAUGCAUGGGAAUCCUUGCAGUAAGUGAGCAUGGAAUUUAAAGGGAUUAUGCAAUCACUGUGCCUUAUAGCAAAAUAGGAUAUUGAUUAAAAGGAUUUAAAAAUUGCACAUAAAAUCCCUAAAGAAAUAUUCAAUGAAAAGAAAUAUCAAAUAACUUCCAUGUAUUGAAAAUUGCACAUGUAACCUCCUUUUGAUACGUUAUUAGUUUUUACUAACUUUUAUCCAAAAGUGUUUGAUGUGAGAUUGAAAUUAAAAAAUUAGUUAAGGGCAUUUUUGUCCAAAAGAAGUUAUAUUUCAUAUUUUUGAAAAAUGAAAGUUAUUCUUCCGAAUUUGCAUUUUCAAUAUUCCAUUUAAACAGAUAACCCAUUUCUACACAAGAGGUGAAGAGAAGCAUACUUACUGGUCAUCCACAUGGCAUCCACAUAGAUUAGCUGCUUUUCUCAAGGCAAUCCUCCACUUUUGUACCAUCUCUUUCUUUUCUUGAUUUGCAUCUCUUUCAUGGCAGGCAAGUGCGUCUCCGAAACUUCCCUUUUGGUUUCGUACAUCAGAUGGAUCCACAUGGUAGAAAAUUGGUAGAACCAGUGAUUCCUUUUGGCUCUUGCGUUCAAUGAUCUUUACAAGUUCAUUUAAACACCAUCUGGAGUAAGCAUAAUUUUUUGAGAAAAUAAUAAUAAAAAUCCUCGAUUCUUCUAUAGCUCUUAAGAGAUCAGAUGCAAUAUCUCCCCCUUUCUCAAGUUCUUCAUCAUCUUUGAAAGAAUGAAUCCCAUAUGCAGUCAAAGUGGUAUACAGAUGAUCAGUGAAAUUUUUGCGAGUGUCACCACCUCUAAAACUCAAGAACACAUCAUAAUUACGAGAAAUAGAAGUAGCAGAAGAGGCUCUACGGGUGCUGGAAGAAGCCAUUUUUGGAUGGCUUGAACCAAAAUUACCAGGGAGUUUGGAAUCCAAGAAAAUCAGAGAGAGGGUCCUUGGAUGCUCAAUGACUAUUGGCUCCAAACCUCUUCACCAUGAACAAAAAUGCAAGCUGGGAGGGAGGUUCAGCUAAAAAGGCUCAUCUGCAAUCAUAAAAGAAAAAAAAAACAUAUAUGAAGCCUCUUUGACAAAUUUCUUUGUAUAUAAAUUCUAAGAGAAACUCACACAUAUUUUACCUCUUGGUUGGGGAAGAUCCUUUCUCCAUUCCCUUUGUGUUGGAGACUGCAUUAAGGGAUGCAGAGAAGAUGGUGGGGAAGGUGUUGAAGAAGAGGCGGUGGGUAGCAGAGGUCUCGUUGACUAGUGGAUGGAAUGGAGUUGAGGAAUUCUAAUAUUUUGAAAUGAAAUUUCAUGGAAGGUGUUGUUUUUAGUUUUUGUUUCCACAAUAUUGGUGCGGCAGCUAGAGGACAUAAUUAUGAUGAUGAGAAAUCCCUAUUUAAGACUAAAAAGUAAUGCUUUUCUUUUUAAUUAAUCAUAUACUUAAUUUUUGUCCUUCCAUUUCAUAUUCUAAUUGUAAUUUGUUUUAUUUUUGUCUCUUGUAUUUUGAUAAUAUUAUUUUUUUAUAGAUAUCGAUUGAAAAAUUUUGUCAUCUUUUUAUGAAAUUUAUUAGAUUUUUUUUAUUAAAAAUAUAGAUUUUUAUAAAUAUAUUAGUAAAUCGGUUUUAUAUAUAUAUAUAUAUAUAUAUAUAUAUAUAUAUAUAUAUAUCAUAAUAUAACUGAAAAAUAUUAAUGAAACAAAAAACAAUUAAAAAUUAUAUAAAUGUCUAUAACAAUUCUAAGAAAUGAAUAGAAAAAAUAAUAAUAAAUAUUUUGAUGUUGUUUUAUUAAAAAAAUUAAUAUAUAUAUAUAUAUAGAUAUAUGAUAUAAUUUAUAAUAUUUAGAAUUUAAAAAUAAAUUUUAUAUAAAUGUAUCUAAUUCGAAUGUAUCUCAUGACAUAAAAGGAAUGAUGAUAAUUAAAUUAAUAUAUUUGUAAUAAUUUUAUUUAUAUACAUAAAAAACAUAUAUUAUAUUUAUAAAUAUGAAUAUAUAAAAAUGAGAAUCUUAAUAUAAUAUACAUAAAUAAAUAUUGUAUAUAUAAGUCAAACAUAACAAUAUAAUAUUAACAAAGUUAGGUUGGUGGCGUGCUGCUCUCACUCUAUGCCUGAGGUCAUGGGUUUAAAUAAUUUAUUUUUGAACCAUCGGCCAGCCGUAGCACUUAAAGUUUAAAUCUUUUCUUAAAGGUAAAAGGUGGAAUGCCACAUGACAUCGAACCUCGUAGAUCAUUGGGCAGGUAGCGAAGUUUGAAUGCGCAUGGUGGGCUGGGCCGACGUGGGCCGAGAUAUUUCCGAUACCUUCCAUCCUUUAUCAUACCCAAUAAAUUAUGCACGCAAAAACCUCCCAUAUAAAAUUUUAGAGAAGAGAUUUCCUUGCAUUUCCAACCAUUUAAUUAUUUUUAAAUACACCUUUGAGAAAAGGGGUUUGCUCUGACAACCCAGGCAGGAAUUCCUUCUUGUAGGUGUGCUUGCCGCUUGCCGCUUGCCGCUUAUCUCAACCCGAACAACCCCAGAGCACAGUUAGACCAACCAGCACUAACACAUUUGACAUUCAUUCCAGAGCCUCCUUAUUUGCUCUCAAAUCAUUCCAAAGAUGGUGUUAUAUAAGGAAUUUCUUAAAAAUGUGCUUGUCAAAGUUAUAUCAAAUUAUCCUUUGUUUGAUACCAAUAAGAAUUUAAAAAUCUCUUAACUUGAAGAUAUUGAAAGGAUUUUGUGGACCCCGCAUUUCGGCUCAUGCGUUUCCCACUCGAAAGCGAGCUCGAUUUUUAUUUGAAAAAUUGAUUUUUUAUUGAUUAAGAAAACUGACUUGGAGUCGCCACUUAUUUUUGUUUUAUUUUUAAAAGGGUAAACAAAAUAAGAAAGAAAAACCCUAAGUGUGACUCCUUACUUUGGAAAAGGUGGUCUGUGAAAAACCGGAUCGGGUUCGGGGGUCAGGUUACUUAUCGGGAAGGUACGGUAAAGACCGUAGCACCCCUCUAAGUCCCUAAAGUCGGGUCUCUACUAAUAAAAUGAAGCAAUCAAUGGCAAUUGAUGAGGGAAUCAAUGAAUACUCAGAGUGAUCCUGCACAUGUGGGAAUCUAAACAUGCAUACAGAAAAUGACCCAAGCGGGUGUGGAUGCGUACCUGGGCAGUGAUCCAUAAAGCGCUAUCAAGAAGUGAGGUUAGCGCACAAUUAAAGAAUAAUUUCGAGCAUGUCAUAGAGCGAAAUAAAAUCGAUCAUGCAUGACAAUUAAAUCAAACAAACAAUCAAUCAAUCAUAAGGGAAUCACAUAUGUUGGGCCCCCACCAAAACCCGAUUUAUAUUGCAUGAAUUAAUCCUACGAAUCCCAUUAUUUCGGAAUUAUGAAGAUUCAUCAUUCUUGCUUGUGUAAAAAUCAAAAGAAAUAGAACAUUAUUUAAAAAUCGGAGUGAAAUUAAAACUAUUCGAGAGAAAACUGGGUUUUUGAGAUUUAUUUGGAAAUUAGAGUUUCGAAAAUUAUUUGAAGAUUGGAGUCUUGAAAAAUUAAAUUUAAGAAUUGGGAUUUUGGAUAUUAAAUUUGAAAGAAAUUAGAAUUUUGGAAAUCGGAAAUUAAGUUCAGAAAUUGGAAUUUUGAAGAAUGUUUAAAAUGGAAUUUCAAAAUAAAUAACUAAAAUAAUAAUAAUUAAAUAGAUUAAUGUGAAUAUCAGAAUUUUCAGAAUUAGAAAUUAAAAUCGGAAGUUGGAAAUUUUAAUGAAUUGUUUAAAAUUGAAUUUUAGAAUAAACAAAUGAAAUAAUAAUAAUAAUGAAAAUAAUAAAGAUUAAAUAAAUAAAUAUGGAAAUUGGAAUUCCGGAAAUUAGAAAUUGAAUUUAGAAAUCGGGAUUUUGAAGAAUUACUUAAUGAUGGAAUUUUAAAUAAAUAAAUAAAUAAACAAUAAUAAUAAUAAUAAUAACAAAAAUAAUGAUUGAAUAAAUACAUAUGGAAAUUAGAAUUCCGGAAAUUAGGAAAUUGAGUUUGAAAAUCGGGAUUUUGAGGAAUUGCUUGAUGAUAGAAUUUUAAAUAAAUAAAUAAAUAACAAGAAUAAUGAUUGAAUAAAUAAAUAAGGAAAUUAGAAUUCCGGAAAUUAGGAAAUUGAGUUUGGAAAUCGGGAUUUUAAGGAAUUGCUUGAUGAUAGAAUUUCAAAUAAAUAAAUAAAAUAAUGAUGAUUUAAAUAAAUUGAUGUGAGAAUUUAAAAUUUCGGAAAGUGGAAUUUAAAUUUAGAAAUCGGGAUUUUGAGGAAUUGUUUGAAGAUUGAAUUUUAAAAAUAAAUAAAUAAAUAAAUGAAAUAAUGACGAUUAAAUAAAUUGAUGUGAGAAUUAAAAUUUCAGAAAUUGGAGUUUAAAUUUAGAAAUCAGAAUUUUGAGAGAUUAUUAAAGGUUGAAUUUUAAAAACGAACAAAUAAAUAAAUAAAUAAAAUAAUGACGAUUAAAUAAAUUGAUGUAAGAAUUAAAAUUUCGGAAAUUGGAAUUUAAUUUGGAAAACGGAAUUUUGAGAGAUUAUUAAAGGUUGAAUUUUUAAAAAAUGAACAAAUAAAUAAAUAAAUAAAAUAAUGAUGAUUAAAUAAAUUGAUGUAAGAAUUAAAAUUUUGGAAAUUGGAAUUUAAUUUAGAAAAAGGAAUUUUGAAGAUUCUUAAAAGGUUGAAUUUUUAAAAAAUGAACAAAUAAAUAAAUAAAUAAAAUAAUGAUGAUUAAAUAAAUUGAUGUAAGAAUUAAAAUUUUGGAAAUUGGAAUUUAAUUUAGAAAAUGGAAUUUUGAAGAUUCUUAAAAGGUUGAAUUUUAAAAAUGAAUAAAUAAAUAAAAUAAUAAUGGAGAAUUAAAUUUUGAUAUUGAGAAUUAAAAUUUCGGAAAUUGGAGUUUAAAUUUAGAAAUCGGAAUUUCGAGGAGUAGUUUAAAGAUUGAAUUUUAAAGAUAAGCAAGUGAAUAAAUAAUGGUGAUUAAAUAAAUGGAUGUGAGAAUUAAAAUUUCGGAAAUUGGGAUCAAAUUCGGAAGUCAGAGAAUUAAGAUUGUUUAAAGAAGGAAAACUUGAAAUAAAUAAAUACAAUAAUAAUAACGAAUAUAAUGAUUAAAUGAAUGAACGAGAAUUUUGGAAUUUCUUCAAAUCGGAAAUUGAAUUUAAAGGUUGGAAAAUUGGAAUUGGAUAAGGAAGGAUAUUUUGAAGUAACUAAAUGGAAUAAUAUUAAUAAGAAUGAUAGUUGAAGUUUUUGAAAACUAGGUUUUAAAGAUUGGAGCUUUGGCAACUAGAUUAAAAUUUUGAAUCUUGACAAUUAACUUUGGAAAUUAAAAAAAAAAAAAUAUUCUAAAAUGGAAACUUUAAAAAUUAGAUUUAAAAAGAGAACUUUGGACAAUUAAACUAUGAGAAUAUGGAUUUUGAAAGUUAAACACUGGAAAAUUGAAAUAAUAAUAAUAAUAGUAAUAAUAACAACUUAAUAUUGAGAACUUGAUAUUGAGAAUAUGGAAUUUGGAUAAAUGAAUAAGCAUAUAAGUGAAUAAUAUAGUGUACGUGUGCAUGAAAUAAAAAAGAAUGAAUAAAAGAAACUAAAGGGCUUUAGAGAGGGGUUUAGGAUAAAGGAUAUGCAGAUUUGGGCCUUUAGGAAUGGACCUUGGGCUUUGAAAAGGGGCUAAGGGUUGGAAAUGGGCCUUGGGCUUCAUCUUCAUCCUAGUUCCUCCACAGCCCAACAGCAUCCCCUCCAGCUGGGCAACUCCUUCAGGAUAUCUCCACCAGCACCGACGUAGAGAGAGACUUCACCACCGGUGGCAAGAUGGAGAGAGGAGCCAUGGCGGCGGUUCGGCGGCAACCUGAAGGUGCAGCCGUCAAGGUGGCUGGUGCGAGUGCUCGCCUGGCCGGGGCGGGUGGUGGCGGCUGGCGAGGUGAGCAAGCACCUCGCCGACGCGGUACACGCAGCGAGAAGGAGCGGGGAGGGGCGGCACGCGUGCAUGGAAGGUUGUGAAGCUCCCCAGGCCUCCGACAAACGCGUCUCUGAUGAAGACGGUAGGAGCGAUGACGGGUAUGAGGAGGAAGAUGGUGGAGGCGACUUGCAUGUUUGGACCCCAUGUGUGCAGAAGGGCGGCUUGGGGAGUCCUCGUGGAGAUGGGUAUGGCGGUUAGAGAGAGAAAAGGUGGCAAAUAUACAUGGGUAUGAGAUGGGAGAGAUAUAGGUGACGCAGCGGACUAGACGAUACAAAUCAGGUUUGAACUGAGGAUUCGGUGAAUUGGAAACUUUAACUAAAAGCUACAGGGGACUUUCUUAAGCUAUGCAUGAUACAAGGGAAUGAGUUGUGAGUUGUUGAGGGCAGCGAUGGAGUGAGAAUCUGGUGAAACAUGAAUAUAUCUAGCCUCAUUUCAAAUAUCAUCCAUGGGCCGAUACAGGUGAAUGAUAAAGAGCAUCAACGUGAUUCAUAACGAACCCAUGUACUCGAUGGCCUCUAAAGAAAAUCACAAAAAUGAGAUAAUAGCAUAGCAAACAUACCCAAGCAGUGAAUGAAAGCUUAAACGAUCGAGACAAGUGCAUGAAAAAUAAUACGAUAAGAAAAUAAUGAACAGAAAACCCACAAAACUUAUACCUGGGAGUGCUCUUUCUUAGCGAAAACCAAUCAGAAAAACCAUGAGUCUCCCCCGGUUCAGCAACUCUGCCUCCCUCCUAGAUAGCUCACUCUUUUCUUCUUUCCUUUUUUCCGAAACUCUGUUUUCCUUUUCUCCUUUUUUUUAGCUUCCUCUCCAAGCCAUCUCUGUACCCCAUCCCAUCUGCCGUCCCAGAGCCUCUCCUAUCAGUCUCCUUUUUGCUACCCCAAAAACAGCCCCUGACCAUCAUGUCGAGCGGCUCCGGAAAAAAGGUAGGAAAAAGAAAAGAAAUAAAAUAAAUCCAAAGAAAACUCUCUGCCUCCGGGGGGUCUACAAAUAUGCCCCUCUUUGAUAGAGUUCACGAGUGUAAGGAACGUGAACACUGGAGUGAAAAAGAAGUGUGAAAAGCGAGUGAAAUGAAGUGAACUCUAUCGAAGAACAAAGAAAGACCCCCGAACCCAAAAGGUACAAGUAGAACACAAACUCACUCAAGGCUCUAAAAUUCUAAGAGGCUCAAGGCACCUCUAAAGCUGCAUCAAGGACCCAGACUCCCUCUAAGAUGUCUCUAAAAGUGACCCAAGAGAUCAACAUCAAAGAUGAGUAACGGUCGAACCACCCUGGAGUACGAGCAAGAAUGCGCCCAAAGGGGACUACCCUAUGUGGACUACGAGAUGAAUAGGCGAUAAGCGCAGGAUAACGGAGUGAGGAAAAAAACCGAGGAAGAAUGUAAAACCAUGAAGGCAAGAUGCGCAAAGCCAGCGGAUAUGAACGUCAGGAGUUGUGACUCUGGAUGACAAGGCCGACUCUAAACACUUAAACCAAGAAAAUAAAAGCUCUAGAAGCCAAACCAAAAAGCGAACCCUAAAAGCUAAACUGAAAAAAUAAUAGUUCUGGAAGCUAAAACAAGACGAUAGUGAUGGCUCUGGAAGCCUAAACGAGGCGACAGUGAUGGCUCUGGAAACCUAAACAAGAUGACGGUAAUGGCUUUGGAAGCCUAAACGAGACGACAGUGAUGGCUUUGGAAGCCAACCAAAAAGCGAACUCUAAAAGCUAAACUGGAAAAAUAAUAGCUCAGGAAGCUAAAACAAAACUAACUCUAAAAACUAAACUAGAAAAUAAUAGCUCUGGAAGCCAAACCAAAACGACAGUGAUGGCUCUGGAAGCCUAAACGAGGCGACAGUGAUGGCUCUGGAAGCCUAAACGAGGCGACAGUGAUGGCUCUGGAAGCCUAAACGAGAUGACAGUGAUGGCUCUGAAAGCCUAAACGAGACGACAGUAAUGGCUCUGGAAGCCUAAACAAGACGAUAGUAAUGGCUCUGGAAGCCUAAACGAGAUGACAGUGAUGGCUCUGGAAGCCUAAACGAGAUGACAGUGAUGGCUCUGGAAGCCUAAACGAGAUGAUAGUGAUGGCUCUGGAAGCCUAAACGAGAUGACAGUGAUGGCUUUGGAAGCCUAAACGAGAUGAUAGUGAUGGCUCUGGAAGCCUAAACAAGAUGACAGAAAUGGCUCUGGAAGCCUAAACGAGACUACAGUGAUGGCUCUGGAAACCUAAAAGAGAUGGCAGAAAUGGCUCUAGAAGCCUAAACAAGAUGACAGAAAUGGCCCUGGAAGCCUAAACGAGAUGACAGUGAUGGCUCUGGAAGCCUAAACGAGAUGGCAGAAAUGGCUCUGGAAGCCUAAACGAGAUGGUAGUGAUGGCUCUGGAAGCCUACACGAGAUGGCAGAAAUGACUCUGGAAGCCUAAACGAGAUGGUAGUGAUGGCUCUGGAAGCCUAAACAAGAUGGCAGAAAUGACUCUGGAAACCUAAACGAGAUGACAGAAAUGGCUCUGGAAGCCUAAACGAGAUGACAGUGAUGGCUCUGGAACCUAAACGAGAUGGCAGAAAUGGCUCUGGAAGCCUAAACGAGAUGGUAGUGAUGGCUCUGGAAGCCUACACGAGAUGGCAGAAAUGGUUCUAGAAGCCUAAACGAGAUGGUAGUGAUGACUCUGGAAGCCUACACGAGAUGGCAGAAAUGGCUCUGGAAGCCUAAACGAGAUGGUAGUGAUGGCUCUGGAAGCCUACACGAGAUGACAGUGAUGGCUUUGGAAGCCUAAACGAGAUGGCAGAAAUGGCUCUGGAAGCCUAAACGAGAUGGUAGUGAUGGCUCUGGAAGCCUACACGAGAUGGCAGAAAUGGCUCUGGAAGCCUAAACGAAAUGGUAGUGAUGGCUCUGGAAGCCUACACGAGAUGGCAGAAAUGACUCUAGAAGCCUAAAAGAGAUGGUAGUGAUGGCUCUGGAAGCCUAAACAAGAUGGUAGAAAUGACUCUGGAAACCUAAACGAGACGAUAGAAAUGGCUCUGGAAGCCUAAACGAGAUGGUAGUGAUGGCUCUGGAAGCCUACACGAGAUGGCAGAAAUGGCUCUGGAAGCCUAAACGAGAUGGUAGUGAUGGCUCUGGAAGCCUAAACGAGACGACAAUGAUGGCUCUGGAAGCCUACCAAAAACUAACUCUAAAAGCUAAACUAGAAAAUAACAGUUCGGGAAGCCAACAAAAAAAAACUAACUCUAAAAGCUAAACUAGAAAAUAACAGCUCUGGAAGCCAACAAAAAAAAAACUAACUCUAAAAGCUAAACUAGAAAACUAAUGGCUCUGGAAGCCGAACCGAAAAUCUAGUUCUAAAUGCUAAACUAGAAGGCCCACAGGUGAACUAACAGUAGGGGAAUGCCUUAAACAAAGUAAACAAGGGGGAUGCCUCAAACAAGGCGACAGGAAAGGGGGAUGCCCUAAACAAACUGAAAGUAGGGGGAUGCCUUAAACGAACUAAAGGUAGGGGGAUGCCGUAAACAAAAGCGACAGUAAGGGGGAUGCCCUAAACAAAGUGACGAUAGGGGGAUGCCCUAAACGAGCUAAAAGCAGGGGGAUGCCCUAAACAAAGUAAAGGUAGGAGGAUGCCCUAAACAAACCUAAAGUAGGGGGAUGCCCUAAACAAAGUGAUGAGAACGGGGAAUGCCCUGAACAAAGAUGACAGUGGGGGAUGCCCCAAACGUAAAUGACAGUGGGGGGAUGCCCCAGACGUAAUGACAGUGGGGGGAUGCCCCAAACGUAAAUGACAGUGGAGGGAUGACCCAAACGUAAAUGACAAUGGGGGGAUGCCCCAAACGUAAAUGACAGUGGGGGGAUGCCCCAAACGUAAAUGACAGUGGGGGGAUGCCCCAAACGAAAAUGACAGUGGGGGGAUGCCCCAAACGAAAAUGACAGUGGGGGGAUGCCCCAAACGAAAAUGACAGUGGGGGAUGCCCCAAACGUAAAUGACAGUGGGGGGUUGCCCCAAUAGAAAAACGCUAAAAGGGGGUAUGCCCCAGUAUGACGACUCGCAAAGAUCAAGAAAUGGACUGAGUAAUGAGAAAGAUGUGCAAAACAACCGAUGUACUCAAAGACGGGGGUAUACCCCAGUGUGGCAUGCCACUGCAAAUCUCAAUCCGCUGGAAAUGGCUGAAAGGGACUCUACGAGUCUCAAACGACGCUCCGCUGAGAGCUCAGGAAUAAUGGUCAGUGAGGCGAAUACAAUAUAUCUCGAUCGAGUGAUGAAAACUGUAACGGAUACGUGAGAGAACGAUCGCCUCCAGGGCUAAAUGAAGGCAAUAUACCCCAGUAUGACAUCAAAUGUACCCAAUCUGUCCUGAUGACCCGAGAAUAACACCAAUGGGAUGCGUAACGGAUCUGAUAUGUACCCCUCUGAAAUGAUGACGCGGGAAAUCCAGGCACCAGAGACAACUCCAUCCAGGAAUCACGACUAUAUCAAAGGGUAUGAAUCUGGCUGAAUGACUCAAGAGAGGCUCCUCGGAGUAUCUAGACAAAAUAAAAUCAAACAUCGACCUGGCGUGUAUCUCAUAACCGUGGAUGAUCAUGUAAACCAGUGGGGAUCUAUAAAUCUCGAUCAAGAUGGGGAAUGUGCCCCAAUGUGGCAUCGAGAAUGCAAUACAUCAAAAAAUCAGAUGAGCUCAGGUCAUCCAUGCCUGGCUAGAUGGCUCUCGAUAGGCUCCACUAAGGAAUCAUCGUGAGGAUAGCGAAUAUAUCAUCAUCUCUGCAUACAUCUCGCCAAAUAAGGAUAAGCACGCGACUCCCUCAUGAUCUGUAAAUCUCGUCCGAAUCGAAAUAUGCCCCUGUAUGGCAUCGAAAUGUAUGAUAGGUCGGAGAUCAGAUAGCAUGGAAUCAUCUAUCCUCGAACAUGUGACCUCUGCGAAGAUCCAUAAAGAUCCUCCGAAACGGAAUAUGCCCCAGUAUGGCAUCAGGUGCGCGACAGGUCUGAAGAACAAAUGUCAUGAAAACAGCCAUCAUCGCACAUGUGAUACUGGUCAUCCGAAUCCAUAACUGAAUCAUGCACAUAUAUCCAAGAUGACCUCCCAGAUGGAGAGGCAUGAUGGCAUCCAAGCGUCGAGAAGUGCGGAACUAGCAGGAUGGAUCUCAGGGGCUCCGUAAGGUAACGACCAUGUCCACGUCUCAGUGAGCAUCCAGUAAGUGGUAAUGAUCGUGUAGAUCUGUGAGGAUCCAUAAACCUCCAAAUGAAAUGGGAUAUGCCCCAGUGUGGCACCAGAGGUAUGAUAGGUCAAAAAUCAGGUGACACCAAAUCAAUCGGCAUCAAACUCACGAUCCUGGUAAUCCGAACACAACUGAAUCAGACCUACACAUCAAAGAGGCGACUCCCAGAAGAAGAAGCAUGACAAUAUCUAAAUAUCAACCAGAUCUCAAUCACCUGUCCAAGUAGAGGCUGCUGAAGACGACAUCUGAUCCCAUGGCCUCAGGGUGGUCUUAAGACACGGGACGUAACGUAGGCCAAGGUGAUAGGGUGAUAGAAAUGAAAGAAAACUAGGCUCAAAUACCCAAUGAUCAAAACUCAUGCCCUCAUAUAUGAAAUGCAACAUGUAUAGUGAACCUCAUGAGCCAUGGACCUGAGGAUGCCUAAUGUGAAUAUGAUAUCGAUAAGGAGACAAAUGAAACAGGAUGAACUGAUAGUGAUAUGUGUAAUGAUGAUGCGAAGUGAGCAUCGAACCUGAGAUGGGUCGCUGUAAGGAGAGAAUGAGACGCGAAGGGAAUGAGAUGAAUCACAAGCAAUGAUAAAAACGAUAGCGAAACAAUGAAUACGUGAAGAAAAGUGGUGAUCGACCCAGAUCAAACAUGAAGUGAAGUCACAUCAAUAAUGAAUGUAAUGAUGGAAAGGACAAUGACUCGGAGUCCUUAGGAGAAGGUCACUCAUAUCUCUCACAAAUAGAUAUGACGAAGCAAUACAAAUAACAUGGGAUUUCAGAGAGCUCACAUACGAACUCCCAAUAACGAACAUACUCGAUAAAAAUGACCCCCAGACAUCAAUAUACAUACCCAAUGAUCGAGAAUACUAUGCACAUACACACAUGUGCUAAUAAUAAUAAUAAUAAUAAUUUUCUUUUUCUUUUUCUUUCUUUUUUCCUUUUUUUUUUUUUUUUUUUUUUUUUUUUUUUUUUUUUUUUUUUUUUACAUAUAUACAAAUGCUCGUACCCUGAACGUGAGCAAAUGAACCCCAAAGAUGAUAUCAAUAACAAAUGGACACACCCCCAAGUGCUAAGGUAACCAACAAACUCUCUCUAACAAGAUGACCUUCUCAAACUAAGGAUCUCUAAACCAAUGUCCGUGAGAUAGAUGGUGGAAAUGAUGUGACUAUCCUCCAUGUGAUGAACUGAGGAGGCUCACCACUCAGGGUGGAGAGAAUAUGAGACAAACAAAUAGUAGAUAGGAUAAGGAAGAAGAGAUGAAUAGCAUAACCAAUAAGAUGAGAUGAAAAUGCAGAGGUGUAGUGAUAGGAAAAGAUAAUGAGAAAAACAUGCCCCUAGGUCCAAAGCUCAUGAAACUACCAAACAAUGCAUGCAUACAUAAAAGGGCCCCUAUCCCGGUGUGAAAAUGUGAGCAAGGCGAUAAGAAAGAAAGGCUAUAAUGCGCAUGCGAGGCUCAAUGGGCUAGCAACGGACUAUGUAUCAUAAAGGAAUAACAAGGUAAUGGCUAACCGAAAUGACGGCCACCCAUCCUGCGACCAUGGUCUCAAACAUAGUACCUCUUUAGCUGAUCCACAUUGGUUGGCUCUGAGAAUCGGUUUCCAUCUAAAUCCAUCAACCAUGCAGCGCCCUCUGGGAUCAACUCCCUGAUGAAAUAAGGUCCGCUCCAGUUGGGUCUGAACUUCCCUCUAGGAUCUCUGAUCAAUCCCCUGAUGACUUUCAAGACUAAGUCACCUACAUGCAGUGGUCUGGGCUUGACCCGCUUUUUGAAAGCGCGGGCCAUCUUCCUCUGAUAUGCACGAACAUGGUCUACUGCUCUCAAUCUCCUCUCAUCUAGGAGAUUGAGCUGAUCAAAUCGAGCCUGAGCCCAAUCUGUCUCGGGAAUCUGCUGCUCUAGUGCUACCCUCAACGAACCCAUCUCAAUCUCAACGGGUAGCACCGCCUCCAUGCCAUAUACCAAUGAGUAGGGUGUGGCGCCUGUAGAGGUGCGAAAAGAGGUCCGAUAAGCCCACAAUGCAAAUGGGAGCUUCUCUGACCAAUCCCGAGAAGUCUCGACCAUCCUCCGUAAUAUCCUCUUGAUAUUCUUAUUCGCGGCCUUUAUUGCCACAUUCGUCUGCGGCCUGUACGCAGACGAUCUAUGAUGCCGGAUGCUGUAUCUCUAUACUAAGGUAUCAACCUCUGCUCUGAAAUGUACUCCUCUAUCUGAAAUCAACUCAUGAGGGACUCCAUAGCGACAGAUAAUGUGUGAUCUGAUGAAACUAGCGACUCCAGCUGAUGUCAACCUCGCAUAUGAGGCGGCCUCCACCCACUUGGUGAAGUAAUCGAUGGCGACCAGGAUGAACUCAUGACCACUGGAAGAUUUCGGUGAAAUCUUCCCGAUGAUAUCAAUACCCCAGACGGAAAAUGGCCAUGGUGAAGUCAAAGCGUGCAGCUCGGAGGGCGGCACGUGAAUGAGGUCCCCAUGUAUCUGACACCCGGGACAUCUCUGAACAAACUGGCAGCAAUCCGUCUCCAUGGUCAACCAGAAGUAACCGGUCCUCAUGAUCUUACGGGCCAACAUAUGUCCUCCCAUAUGUGGUCCGCAGACUCCCGCAUGAACCUCUCUCAUCACUCGAUCGGUGGAGGCACGGUCCAAGCACAAUAAUAGCAUCCCAUCAGCUGAUCGUCUAUAUAAUGUCUCACCACAAAUCACGAAUCGGGCUGCUAACUGUCUCAAUGCCCUCCUAUCCUUGGCCGUGGCUGCCUCAGGGUACACGCCAAGUCUCAAGAAGUGAUAUAUGUCAUGGUACCAAGGCAGACCAUCAUCUGGCUCUACAUCAUCGAUCAGGCAACAGUAGGCAGGAGCAGAUCUCGACUCGAUCAACAAAGGUCGAACAGUGGCGUCAACGGGAAUAUCGAUCAUGGAAGCUAGAGUAGCUAAAGCAUCAGCAAACUGGUUCUGCGCUCUAGGCAGAUGGGUAUAUCUCAAAUCAUCAAAUCUCCCAACCAUUAGCUCCAAAUAUACAUGAUAAGACCUAAGCUUCACAUCUCUAGUCUUCCACUCGCCCUGAAUCUGUCUCAACACCAGAUUGGAGUCACCAAACACCUCUAUCUGUCUAAUCCCGAGCUCGAGGGCUGUCUCUAAUCCCAAGAUACAAGCCUCAUACUUAACAAGGUUGUUCGUGGCAGGAUGUCGAUCCGAGAAUGCCAACCGAACAGAUCUGGGAAUGUGAUCACCAUGAGGGGAUAUCAACAGGACGCCUAUCCCGUAUCGAGAAUGGUUGGCUGCACCAUCAAAGUACAUGCGCCAACCUGACAGACUAGUCACAGCAGCGACAUCCUCGUCUGGAAAAUCAUCGUCAAUAGCUCUGGCAUCAGAAACUGGUAAUGAGGCUAGAUGAUCUGCUACAAUGCUCCCUCUGAUGGACUUCUGAGUGACAUAAUGGAUGUCAAACUCAGUCAGAAGUACCAACCAUCUCAUGAGGCGACCAACCAGAGCGGGUCUAUCAAACAAAUAUCUCAGAGGAUCCAAGCGAGAUAUCAAAUGCACGGAAUAUUCGGUCAUGUAAUGUCUCAACCGGCCAGUGGCCCAAACCAAUGACAAACAAUAACGCUCAAUCAUGACAUACCUCGUCUCGUAGUCUAACAUCCUCUUACUCAAAUAGUAAAUGGCUUGAUCCUUGCCCGAAUCAUCGAGCUGAGCUAACAUGCAACCCAAGGCCACGUCUGAUACGGACAAGUAUAAGAGCAGAGGACGGCCUAGUGUAGGAGGCGCCAAAACAGGAGGUGACAACAAGUACUCUUUGAUCCUCUCGAAGGCACGCUGGCACUGGUCAUCCCAAACAGUAGGUUGACUCUUCCUCAAGAGUCGAAAUAUGGGCUCACAGAUGUCUGUCAAUCUGGCUAUGAAUCUACUGAUGUACUGAAGUCUGCCCAGGAAGCCUCUGACCUCUCUCUCUGUCCUCGGCGCAGACAUGUCAAGAAUGGCUCUAAUCUUGUCCGGAUCUACCUCUAUGCCUCGCUCACUGACCAUGUAUCCCAAGAGUUUCCCAGAAGUCACUCCGAAAGUGCACUUCUUGGGAUUCAGUCUCAACCUGAACUGUCGGAUCCUCUCAAAGAAUCUCUCCAGAGCUGCUAAAUGAUCUGAUCUACCUCGGGAUUUCACUAUCAUGUCGCCUACAUAAACCUCGACAUACCGAUGCAUCAUGUCAUGGAAGAGGGUGGUCGCUGCUCUCUGAUAGGUGGCUCCUGCGUUCUUCAAUCCGAAUGGCAUGACUCUAUAGCAAUAAGUACCCCACUCGGUAAUGAAGGACGUCUUCUCCAUGUCCUCUGGAGCCAUCAAGAUCUGACUGUACCCGGAAAAUCCAUCCAUAAAGGACAACAUCGAAUGACCUGCCGUACUGUCAACUAGCAUGUCGAUGUGUGGAAGAGGAAAAUCAUCCUUAGGACUGGCCUUGUUGAGAUCUCGGAAAUCAACACAGACUCUCACUUUGCCGUCCUUCUUGGGAACAGGGACGACAUUGGCCAGCCACUCCGGGUACUCAACCACUAAUAAGAAUCCUACACUGAGCUGCUUCUGGAUCUCCUCUUUCACCUACAAGCUCCAACGAGGGUGCAAUCGUCUCAACUUCUGCUUAACCGGUCUGGCAUGGGGCAGAAGUGGCAAACGAUGCUGGACGAUAGAUGGAUCAAAGCCUGGCAUGUCCUCAUAGGACCAUGCGAAAACGUCCAAGUAGGAUCUGAGUAGCUGGAUGAGGCUAUCUCUCUCAUCUGUAGACAAAUCCGAUCCGAUCCUCAACUCCCUAGGCUGAUCUGACGUGCCAAAGUCAACAAUCUCGGUGUCCCCUACAGCAGGUGAAACUCUCUGAUCAACGGGGUCUGAGUCGGAAGUAGAAGACGAGUCAUCGUUUGAGUCGUGCUGUGCAAUCUCAUCAUCAAUGUCAAAAAUCUGUGAUGUGGGUGAAGAUGGUGCAGAUAAAUCAAUAACAUGAGAGACAGGCAAAUACUCAAAGGUGCUCAAAUCCAUAGAUGAAAAGUCAGAAACAUAGUCAUGACGGGAGACAAAUCCCGAUAAAACAUCAAAGGUGAGAGGUGGGUCCACAAGGUCGGACGCUCCCUCAACUAGGCCAACAGGGCCAUCAAACAAAUCAACAGCAACUAUAACAUCCUCGACGACCUCUGGAGUGGGGGCAACCUAGAUCUCCUCGGCGAUCUCGAGGACGGACACCCCGAAGAGAUCAAAUGGUGAAGCGAGCUCCGGCGGGGCUAUCUCCUCGGUCUGGCUCAAGCUCAUCGCGAGCAUCUCAUCAACGUACUCGUCACGCGGCACGGCUCCAUCCACUACGUCUCCAAUCUCGGCAAAAGUCCCGUGAUCAUCGAUCUCAUUCCGGAAGCAAAGCGUCAUAAGGCUCGUGCGAUCUGGGGAGGGAGGAGCAAUCAACACAGAAGCCGAAGGGCCAGGGGCUCCGUCACUCAACUGUAAUUGCUGGACGAGGCGCUGAAGCUCGGCCUCCUGGGUGGUGCUGAGUCCUCCGAUGAUCCCAUCAGAUGGUGCAUGUGACUCCGAUGCCCUCACAAAGUAAUCAGAUAAGCUCCUGGUGUAUGGGCGAAGAGGAUAGUCGAAAGGCGUGUGGGUCAGCCGAGCCCUCACUCUCUCCUUGCGCAAACGCGCCAUGUAUCGAUAGUCAACCUCGGUGGGGAUGAACCCAAGCCCAAAUGGUACGUCAUGAUCAGGAAUGGUGAUGAACUCGCUCGGUCCAUACUGACGUCGACCCAACCCCAUGCCGGGUAGAUAGGACAUGCUCCGCAUAAUAUCGAGCACCACUGUGCUCCUAUGCUCGUCAAAGGACAUGGCCACAAAAUCCCGGCAGAAAUCCUCCAUCUCCACGGUCUGCACCUCAGCGAAGGUGAAUCCAGUCAGAAAGAUAUCGUCAUCAGUGUGACUAAUCUCGAGCACAGGCUCGACAGCAAUGAACAUGUCCCCCACGGACUGCACCACGACGACCUGACCAUCAUGGAUGAACUUCACUUUCUGAUGAAGUGAAGAAGGAAUGGCUCCAGCUCGGUGAAUCCACGGUCGGCCCAAAAGCAGGUUAAAGGAUGUAGGAAUCCUCAAAACCUGAAAGAUAGUGAUAAAUGUGGUCGGACCUAUCAGGAGCUCAAUCUCCAGUGUACCCAUGACCUCUCUACGGGUGCUGUCAUAAGCUCGAACGGUCUGAGUGGAUGGACCGAAAUCGGAUGGUGCGUACCCAAGAGCGAUGGCGGUGGCCAGAGGACAUACAUUCAGGGUCGAGCCAUUGUCCAGAAGGACAGAUGGAACUCGGCGACCUGAACAGCCAACAGAUAUAUAGAGAGGACGCGUGUGGCCAAAACCCUCUGGUGGCAAGUCGUCAUCGGAAAAGACGAUACAAGUGGCUCUGCCAACCGUCAUCAUAUGAAUGAGUCCCUCAGGAGUGGUCGUGGUAUCAACUCUAAUCUGGCUCAGAGCUCGAGUCAGUGCAUCCCGAUGAGUACUGGAGGACGCUAAAAGGCUCCAUAUAGAAAUACGAGCCUGAGUGCUCUGCAACUGCCUCAAAAUCUCGUCAUCCUCUACUCUGACCUCCUCCUGGGAUGAUGUACCCCCUAAGGGUCUAGCGGCAGCGGCUGGAGGUGGCUGUCUCAAUACUCUCCCUCCCCAGAGGAUAUACUAAACGUCCGGAGUCUGAAGAUCAUCACUGUGUGGAGCCUGAAACUCCUCAACAUCGGGGACUAAGACGAACGGCGUCUGAACACUAUAGCGCGUGGAAGUCGGAGGCUCGACAAUGGACGCAUGUACUGAGGCUGUCUCAGGAAAUAACCCGAAGGGAGUGGGCACCUAAGGCCCCAAAGACAUGCUGCUCAUCCCGUAAAUAUCCCCCAACUCUAUGGGCUCUGGAUCUAUGUCAUCCCAGCUCAUCAUGCAAACAUGGUCAUCAGAAUCAGCAAAAUCCAGAAAAUGAAUACCCCUGUCUGGUGGAGGAACUGCAUGCGUGGAAUGGGCCGAUAGUGGGUUUUGGGCUAUACUCGGCUGACCCAAGUGAACCAAACCCUGAUCAAUCAAGUCCUGGAUGGCGUGCCUCAAUGCGGUGCAUCGAUCAGUCUCAUGUCCUAGCCCCUGAUGAUAGGCACAAUGCAAAUCCAUCCUAUACUGAGGAGGUAGAGGCUGUGGGGGCGGUCUCGGAGCGAGUGCAGUCAACAAACCAGCCUCUAUGAGCUUCCGAAGAGCCUGGCUCAACGGCAUGCCUAUCUGUGAAAACUGUCUCUACGUCCUCAAAGCAAAAGGUGCAGAGGUCUGCUGAGCUCGAGGCCUAGGGUAUGAAGGUGCGGGCCUCGGAGUGAACUGUGCAGCGUAGCAUGGCUGUCCAGUGGCCGUGUACGAAACAAGAAGCCUCUCAAUGCCCUGAGUGGCAUAGUAAGGUAGAGCCAAUGGCCGAGCCUGAUAUGUCUGAUCGAAAGUCGGGCAAGGUGCCUGUGGCCUGAACUGUUGAGGUGCGUAAGACGGAUGAGUCUCAAUGAGCUGUGGGAUCGGCUGAUGACGCCUAGGAGGCCUCUGACUGGAUAAACUGAUAGCACUAACAUCUGUCGACCUCUGUCCUACGAAUGGUUUCUUCCCCUUAACAUCACUAGGGGAAGAAUCUGUCCAUAAACCUCUCGAGAUGCCGUCCUCGACAUCAUACAAAGCCAUAACUAGAGACCCAAAAUCCGUGAACGGGGCCCCUACCACAUGUCUGGCGAUCCGCGGCUGCAAGCUCCUCAAAACCAUCUGAAUCUGGUCCCUCUCUGAUGGUCUAUUGAUAAUCUCAGCUAUCUUCCCGCGCUAGCGGGAAAUGAAAGAAGAAACAGACUCCUCUGCCCUCUGUCUCAAAGCCUCGAGCUCCCUCCUCGAUACAUCCACGACAGUGUUAAACGAAAACUGUCGUAGGAACUCCUGGGCCAAGUCGUCCCAUGUGCGGCGCCUCGAGGCCUCCAAAGAUGCAAACCAACGCUGGGCCGCCCCACUCAAAGAUAGUGGGAAAAGAGUAAUCAUCUGAGGCUCGUCCAGUCCAUGAGCCCUCAUCACGGUGCUGUAUAAUCGGAGAUGGAGGCGUGGACAACCAAUGCCAGUAUACCUCUCAAUGUCAGGCAUCCUGAACUUAGCCGGCAAGCUGGCUACCGGCACUCCAUCAAAACCCUCCCAAGUAGUGGCUCUAUCUGAAGUCCUCAACUGCCUCAAACCCUGCUCAAGCCUAUCCAUGCGAGCAUGUGGGUCCUCUGAGGUCGGGGUGGGCACGGUGAUGGGAGGCGGGACAACCCCGGUCUGACUAUGCAGAGUGAACGGCAUGGCCUGUGGCGCUGACUGACUGGGUGGAGGAGGUGGUGGCACUGUAGGGUCAUACUGGGCACCAUCCUGGGGCGGGACCUGCUGGGCCUGCUGCCCAUCCAUCCUCCGACCGAGGCUAGCUAUAGCCUCCUGAAUCGAAGCCAUGGCCUCAGCAAACUGAUCGACGGUAACUACCUGUGAAUCCAUAUCUCUCUGAUCUGAUCUUUGGUCUGACUGGUCCGAUACCCUGAUCAAUCUACCCUCAACUCUGAUCCAAGAGGGUGUAUCCAGGCUGUGAACAAAAUCCGAUCCUGACAAGACUCCUCCUCUACUCUAUCCCACGAAGGUAUAUCCAAAUGAAGAACAAAGGUCCGAUCCUGAGAAAGCACGAAGAACGGAAUAAGGAUAUGGCUCUGAGAAUGUACAAAAGAAAAGGUAAUCUAAACGGGAACCAGCAAAGCAUCCAAAUGAAGAUGAACGGUCCGACCGUACUCAAAACUAGCACUGAUCUCUGUGCAUUCUCAACUGGAGACUAAAGAGGGAGCGUCGAAUCCAAAAUGUGACCACAGAGGCGCCGAAGGCCCUCAGAUGCACCCACGUGUAGGGAGGGAGUCCUAAUCAGAGGAUCUACGGCUCAACCUACAAGGUCAAGGUGGUUCUAAAUAGAUAUGGGUGGACUUUAAAAGAUCCCUAGCAGAAGCGAUCGUACCCUCCGACAGUACGCAACCCUUUGCACGUCUCCGAAGAGACGGGGCGCUUCCAUGCAAGGUGGUCAUCACCUCCACACAUGCACUACCUCGACAUCCCAGGGGGUUUCCUAUGGUGAAACCUCUCAAACUCUCAACGCUCAAUGGUCAACUAAAGUGCACAGUGAAUGGUGUGGGUGCAUCCGAAAACCCUAAGAAUCUAGAGCAGAAGAGGAAACACACUGGUCGCACGACUAUCCAUGAAACCUAGCUCGGGGCUAUACAGGUCUUCAAUGAUCGAACUCCAAUCGACAUCAAAGUGUCGUCCUCCUCCUGAAUGCUCCCGUACAUCGAUAUAGCCCGUCGCUAGACCCUACUCCUAAUCUCUAUCUCAGUCAGAGUACAAGCACACACAAGGCCCCACACUUGCAAAAGUGAGAACCAGAAUGAAGGAAAUGACCGAGACUAGAGGGUCGGAGAUAAGGGGAUAGAUGUGCUACCCACAUAGACAGGCGACAUACAAUCACGCAGAGGAGGGCAGUCAUGCAUCAUACAGUCAGGCAGAGCAGAAUAUAUCACUCAUGUACACACAAGAUAAGCGAGAAUACGACAAUCAAGAUGAAUAGUGAUACCAACAUCAUGCUCAAGGACGAUCAAAAUAGUAUACAAGUUAGAGAAUCAAUAUGUCAAGCCGAGUGAUAUACAAUGGUGAGUGUAUGCAUGUGAAGUGAUCAGAACAAUCAUGCCAAAAUCAGAAUCAAUACGCUGAGCAAUGCAAUAAGAUCAAUCAUCAAUAAUCCAACAUGUCAAAAUCUCAAAUGAAUACGACAUCUAAGCAUGCAUCAAGAAAUCCUCAAUGUGCAAUCAAGAGAUGAGCAUCCACUGAUCGUCCAAUCAAAUGCCACAUUUGCUUCACUCUAAGUUCAAGCUUGACCCUCUAAAAAAAAAAUCCCCAGCGGAGUCGCCAUUUUGUGGACCCCGCAUUUCGGCUCAUGCGUUUCCCACUCGAAGGCGAGCUCGAUUUUUAUUUGAAAAAUUGAUUUUUUAUUGAUUAAGAAAACUGACUUGGAGUCGCCACUUAUUUUUGUUUUAUUUUUAAAAGGGUAAACAAAAUAAGAAAGAAAAACCCUAAGUGUGACUCCUUACUUUGGAAAAGGUGGUCUGUGAAAAACCGGAUCGGGUUCGGGGGUCAGGUUACUUAUCGGGAAGGUACGGUAAAGACCGUAGCACCCCUCUAAGUCCCUAAAGUCGGGUCUCUACUAAUAAAAUGAAGCAAUCAAUGGCAAUUGAUGAGGGAAUCAAUGAAUACUCAGAGUGAUCCUGCACAUGUGGGAAUCUAAACAUGCAUACAAAAAAUGACCCAAGCGGGUGUGGAUGCGUACCUGGGCAGUGAUCCAUAAAGCGCUAUCAAGAAGUGAGGUUAGCGCACAAUUAAAGAAUAAUUUCGAGCAUGUCAUAGAGCGAAAUAAAAUCGAUCAUGCAUGGCAAUUAAAUCAAACAAACAAUCAAUCAAUCAUAAGGGAAUCACAUAUGUUGGGCCCCCACCAAAACCCGAUUUAUAUUGCAUGAAUUAAUCCUACGAAUCCCAUUAUUUCGGAAUUAUGAAGAUUCAUCAUUCUUGCUUGUGUAAAAAUCAAAAGAAAUAGAACAUUAUUUAAAAAUCGGAGUGAAAUUAAAACUAUUCGAGAGAAAACUGGGUUUUGAGAUUUAUUUGGAAAUUAGAGUCUUGAAAAUUAUUUGAAGAUUGGAGUCUUGAAAAAUUAAAUUUAAGAAUUGGGAUUUUGGAUAUUAAAUUUGAAAGAAAUUAGAAUUUUGGAAAUCGGAAAUUAAGUUCAGAAAUUGGAAUUUUGAAGAAUGUUUAAAAUGGAAUUUCAAAAUAAAUAACUAAAAUAAUAAUAAUUAAAUAGAUUAAUGUGAAUAUUAGAAUUUUCAGAAUUAGAAAUUAAAAUCGGAAGUUGGAAAUUUUAAUGAAUUGUUUAAAAUUGAAUUUUAGAAUAAACAAAUGAAAUAAUAAUAAUAAUGAAAAUAAUAAAGAUUAAAUAAAUAAAUAUGGAAAUUGGAAUUCCGGAAAUUAGAAAUUGAAUUUAGAAAUCGGGAUUUUGAAGAAUUACUUAAUGAUGGAAUUUUAAAUAAAUAAAUAAACAAUAAUAAUAAUAAUAAUAACAAAAAUAAUGAUUGAAUAAAUACAUAUGGAAAUUAGAAUUCCGGAAAUUAGGAAAUUGAGUUUGAAAAUCGGGAUUUUGAGGAAUUGCUUGAUGAUAGAAUUUUAAAUAAAUAAAUAAAUAACAAGAAUAAUGAUUGAAUAAAUAAAUAAGGAAAUUAGAAUUCCGGAAAUUAGGAAAUUGAGUUUGGAAAUCGGGAUUUUAAGGAAUUGCUUGAUGAUAGAAUUUCAAAUAAAUAAAUAAAAUAAUGAUGAUUUAAAUAAAUUGAUGUGAGAAUUUAAAAUUUCGGAAAGUGGAAUUUAAAUUUAGAAAUCGGGAUUUUGAGGAAUUGUUUGAAGAUUGAAUUUUAAAAAUAAAUAAAUAAAUAAAUGAAAUAAUGACGAUUAAAUAAAUUGAUGUGAGAAUUAAAAUUUCAGAAAUUGGAGUUUAAAUUUAGAAAUCAGAAUUUUGAGAGAUUAUUAAAGGUUGAAUUUUAAAAACGAACAAAUAAAUAAAUAAAUAAAAUAAUGACGAUUAAAUAAAUUGAUGUAAGAAUUAAAAUUUCGGAAAUUGGAAUUUACUUUGGAAAACGGAACUUUGAGAGAUUAUUAAAGGUUGAAUUUUUAAAAAAUGAACAAAUNNNNNNNNNNNNNNNNNNNNNNNNNNNNNNNNNNNNNNNNNNNNNNNNNNNNNNNNNNNNNNNNNNNNNNNNNNNNNNNNNNNNNNNNNNNNNNNNNNNNNNNNNNNNNNNNNNNUUUUUAAAAAAUGAACAAAUAAAUAAAUAAAUAAAAUAAUGAUGAUUAAAUAAAUUGAUGUAAGAAUUAAAAUUUUGGAAAUUGGAAUUUAAUUUAGAAAAUGGAAUUUUGAAGAUUCUUAAAAGGUUGAAUUUUAAAAAUGAAUAAAUAAAUAAAAUAAUAAUGGAGAAUUAAAUUUUGAUAUUGAGAAUUAAAAUUUCGGAAAUUGGAGUUUAAAUUUAGAAAUCGGAAUUUCGAGGAGUAGUUUAAAGAUUGAAUUUUAAAGAUAAGCAAGUGAAUAAAUAAUGGUGAUUAAAUAAAUGGAUGUGAGAAUUAAAAUUUCGGAAAUUGGGAUCAAAUUCGGAAGUCAGAGAAUUAAGAUUGUUUAAAGAAGGAAAACUUGAAAUAAAUAAAUACAAUAAUAAUAACGAAUAUAAUGAUUAAAUGAAUGAACGAGAAUUUUGGAAUUUCUUCAAAUCGGAAAUUGAAUUUAAAGGUUGGAAAAUUGGAAUUGCAUAAGGAAAGAUAUUUUGAAGUAACUAAAUGGAAUAAUAUUAAUAAGAAUGAUAGUUGAAGUUUUUGAAAACUAGGUUUUAAAGAUUGGAGCUUUGGCAACUAGAUUAAAAUUUUGAAUCUUGACAAUUAACUUUGGAAAUUAAAAAAAAAAUUAUUCUAAAAUGGAAACUUUAAAAAUUAGAUUUAAAAAAAGAACUUUGGACAAUUAAACUAUGAGAAUAUGGAUUUUGAAAGUUAAACACUGGAAAAUUGAAAUAAUAAUAAUAAUAGUAAUAAUAACAACUUAAUAUUGAGAACUUGAUAUUGAGAAUAUGGAAUUUGGAUAAAUGAAUAAGCAUAUAAGUGAAUAAUAUAGUGUACGUGUGCAUGAAAUAAAAAAGAAUGAAUAAAAGGAACUAAAGGGCUUUAGAGAGGGGUUUAGGAUAAAGGAUAUGCAGAUUUGGGCCUUUAGGAAUGGACCUUGGGCUUUGAAAAGGGGCUAAGGGUUGGAAAUGGGCCUUGGGCUUCAUCUUCAUCCUAGUUCCUCCACAGCCCAACAACAUCCCCUCCAUCUGGGCAACUCCUUCAGGAUAUCUCCACCAGUACUGACAUAGAGAGAGACUUCACCACCGGCGGCAAGAUGGAGAGAGGAGCCGUGGCGGCGGUUCGGCGGCAACCUGAAGGUGCAGCCAUCAAGGUGGCUGGUGCAAGUGCUCGCCUGGCCGGGGCGGGUGGUGGUGGCUGGCGAGGUGAGCAAGCACCUCGCCGACGCGGUACACGCAGCGAGAAGGAGCGGGGAGGGGCGGCACGCGUGCAUGGAAGGUUGUGAAGCUCCCCAGGCCUCCGACAAACGCGUCUCUGAUGAAGACGGUAGGAGCGAUGACGGGUAUGAGGAGGAAGAUGGUGGAGGCGACUUGCAUGUUUGGACCCCAUGUGUGCAGAAGGGCGGCUUGGGGAGUCCUCGUGGAGAUGGGUAUGGCGGUUAGAGAGAGAAAAGGUGGCAAAUAUACAUGGGUAUGAGAUGGGAGAGAUAUAGGUGACGCAGCGGACUAGACGAUACAAAUCAGGUUUGAACUGAGGAUUCGGUGAAUUGGAAACUUUAACUAAAAGCUACAGGGGACUUUCUUAAGCUAUGCAUGAUACUAGGGAAUGAGUUGUGAGUUGUUGAGGGCAGCGAUGGAGUGAGAAUCUGGUGAAACAUGAAUAUAUCUAGCCUCAUUUCAAAUAUCAUCCAUGGGCCGAUACAGGUGAAUGAUAAAGAGCAUCAACGUGAUUCAUAACGAACCCAUGUACUCGAUGGCCUCCAAAGAAAAUCACAAAAAUGAGAUAAUAGCAUAGCAAACAUACCCAAGCAGUGAAUGAAAGCUUAAAGAUCGAGACAAGUGCAUGAAAAAUAAUACGAUAAGAAAAUAAUGAACAGAAAACCCACAAAACUUAUACCUAGGAGUGCUCUUUCUUAGCGAAAACCAAUCAGAAAAACCAUGAGUCUCCCCCGGUUCAGCAACUCUGCCUCCCUCCUAGAUAGCUCACUCUUUUCUUCUUUCCUUUUUUCCGAAACUCUGUUUUCCUUUUCUCCUUUUUUUUAGCUUCCUCUCCAAGCCAUCUUUGUACCCCAUCCCAUCUGCCGCCCCAGAGCCUCCCCUAUCAGUCUCCUUUUUGCUGCCCCAAAAACAGCCCCUGACCAUCAUGUCGAGCGGCUCCGGAAAAAAGGUAGGAAAAAGAAAAGAAAUAAAAUAAAUCCAAAGAAAACUCUCUGUCUCCGGGGGGGUCUACAGAUUUUUUUCUAUUUUUUUGAAAGGAUUUCAUUAAAUUUGUCAAGAUAAGGAAUUUUUUUCCUUAUCUUUGUUUUUCUCCCUUUGAAUGAUUCACUUACAUGUUAUGGGUUAGUUUCUAUGAAACUUUUUCUUAAAGAAAAAUAUUAUUUUUAAUUGGUAAAUAUAUCUAUCAUUCUCUUGAUAUUAUAGAAACUCUCUUUUUAAAAAAUUGUUUAGUUUCUACUAUUGUUUUAAAAAAAAAUCUCUUUCAAAUGGAGGAAAACCAAUUAAUGGUUAUUUAAAAUAAGUAUUAUAAACUUCUAGAAAGGAGACGUAGCAUUCAAAAAUCAACAAAGUUAAAAUCCUUGUUUUUUCUUUUUUUCUCCUUUCAACAUUCAACAACCAAUCUUCUUACUUUUAGUGUUUCUCUUAUAAGUUAAAGGUCUUUGAUGACUAUAUUUUGCAUUUUAUUUUUGUUGUUCUCCUUUCAACAUUCAACAAUCAAUUAAUCUUCUCUCUUAGUGAUUGUCUUGAACUUUGAUGACAAAGGCAUUCUAAGAAAUUUGCUUGAAGGCCCACUACCAUCCAAAGUCUAAUAAACCAAGGAAAAUUGCAUGAAAAUAUUUCAUAUCAUUUUUUGAAAUUUAGAUCUUUGUAAGAAAUUGUUUUGAAGGUAAGCUACUACUAAAGUUUAAUAAGCCAAGGAACUUUCUCACUAUUUCUCAUGUUCGGGUAACAUGAAAAAAAUAAUAGUUGUUUUUUUAUCUCCUUUUCUUUAAUAUUUAUCCUUUUGUCAUUACUACAAAGUAAGCGCAAUUAUGCUUCAUUUGAUGAUUAAUGGAGAAAAAAGUUACUUCUUUAUAUUAAAUAUUUAUCCUUUAAUUAUUUUUGCAAAGUUAAAUUAGAGUUUUCAUGAAUGCCUUUUCUACUACAAUUAUGAAAUUCAAAAUUUAUCUGCUCAAUACAUUGAAAUCCCUCAAAGAAAUUGAGAAAGCAAUCAUUUAACCAACUCCUUGAAGAACUUACCAUAAAUAACGGUAGUGCAAAAGAUAAGUGUCAUGAUUGAAGUUCAAAAUAAUAUCUAUAACUUAAAGAUUUCUUUGAACAUUAAAGUUUAGUGCUAGCUAUAUUAUAAUAGCAACUAAAAAAGGCACUUUUUGCUCCUUUUUCCCAUUUAUUCUUUUGGAAGUAUGAAAAGAAAAUUAUUCCAAAAAAAAAAUUACAUAAAAUAAUAAAAAAAUUUAUAAAAUUAAUGCUUAUAAAAAUUAUAUGAAAAUAAUCAUUAUUUUAAAAAAAAAUCUCACCCCAUUUUCUUUAAUAUUUGAUUACAAAUAUAAUAUAGUUAAAAAGAGUAUACUAUUAUACAAAUCAUGUAACUUCUAAAGUAUCUCUAUUUAGGCAUUGUUUGAAAUCAUAGAAUAAAGCAUGGGAAUGAGUUAAUGUGUUUGGAUUGUUUUUGGAAUAAGAAUAGGAAUAAAAAAUCAUUGUUAUGGAAACCAAAUUCCAUUAUCACUGGGAUUUUGAUUCCUUUAUCUUAUCUUACAUGAGAUUAGGAUUCACCAUAUCCUCAUUCUAUUUCCAUUCCUAUUUUCAUGUACCAAACGAAACCUUAGACAAUGUUUGGUAUGUGGGAAUUGAGAUGAGAAUAAACAUUUUGUUUUCAUUCUUAUUUGAUCUUGAAUAAAAAUAAAUUUGGUAAUUCCAAUUCUUGUAUUUGAAUGCACUUAUAAAUGGAAUGUUGAAAUGAUCAUUUCUUUUCAUUUUAUUGUUUGAUAACAAUAGGCAUGAAAUUAAUUUUCUCAUUAGAAGAACAAAAACCUUAGAAUAUAAUGAAAAGUUUAACAAAGUUGAAAGGAGGAAAUCAAUAAAGAAAUGAUAUUUUUAACUUUCUUAAGUUUUGUGCACUUCUUUUUAUAUUAAAUUCAAUUUUUAAAUUUGUAAUUAUUUAACCAAAUCCAAAACAACAUAAUUAGCUUCAAUUUAUGUUUCCAACUUGUAUGUGUUAAUAUAAGACUUAGUGGUAGUAAAGUAGUUUUGAACCAAUAAGCUAUAGAGCAAAUUUGUCUACUUAAACUAGUACAUUGACAAUCUCAUCCUUUGAAAAUUUUGGAACAAUACAAAAUAUUGCAAUACAACCCUCUAAAACUCUAAAAUUAAGAUCCUUAAGUCGCUUGACCUAAUCCUUACCAAAGAUCACUCACUAUAAAUAACACCUUCUUAUCUUUCUUUUUUUGCAUGAAUAUGUCACCUCAUAACACCUUCUCCUCUUGAAUUUGAUUGCUUGUUCUUAAUUUGACAUUCUCUUUCCCUUUUAGAUUUGAAAAAAAAAAACAAAAAAACAAAAAAAAUGGUGUAAAUUCAACUUGAUAAGAGUUUAAUCAAAAUUGGAAAUUUGCUUGUAAUAUCUAACUCGCCUUAAUGAAUAAGGAUGUAUGGGUUGAUCAAUCGAGCUUUAGGCCCUUGAAUAAUCAUCUCAACUUUCACUUUCAAUUGCCUGAGAUAUUUCAUUUGGAUAUCAAUCAAACCCAAGGUUGAGACAUUAAAUUGUACGUAUGUUAGUUUUUAUGAUAAACUAGUUUCACAAAAUGGUUGAUGCUUCAAAAGUAAUAACUUAGUUAACAAAUGCAAUGUCAUAAUUUUAUAUUUUUGCUCAUUUGAUGUAUGUGGGAACAAAAACUAACAUGGAUCUUAAAGUAUUCCAAAACAAAAUACUUGAAAUUGAAAUAUUCUUUCCCACCUAAUUUGAUUGCUCAUUCUAGGUUGGAGAUUCUAUCUCUUUACACCAAGAAUUAUGCAUAGUGCAAGAGUGUGAGUUUAAAUUGGCAUCACUUUAAUCAAAAUCUAAGACUGGGUUGAAGUAUUUGACUUGCCUUGAUUAAUAAGGACAUCCGGCCAUGGCUUAACUGAUGGAGGUUGGUGUGUACUAACUUAUCCAACAAAAUGUUUAAUCUGCAAAAAAAUUAACAACAAUCAAGCUUGUCCUCGAAAUGCCCUAAAACGAGUCCCAAUAAAAAUGGGUUUUGAAAAAAAAAAAAAAAAACAAAACAAAAAAUUCUGUAGAAGGAAUUUCAGCCCCUUGGAAUCAGCAAGGCAUAUAAAAUAGAAACUAAGAAAAGGAGGGUGGCUUAAUUACCAAAAAGUUGAGGUAAAUGUUUGGUCAACAUCAACAAAGAAGCUCCAGCCAUCUGUGCAUAUGGUCCAUUUCAUGGUCUUGCGCAUCAACACCAUUACCAUCAUUAUUCAGGGUGGUGCCAUCACAGCUUCUCUCCACAUCAGUAUUAGUAUCUUCUACUGCUGAACUGGUGUCACAGCUUACUUCUACGUUGUACAAUUGUGAGAUUGUUCUGUUCAUAAUCGUGGGCAUAUAGAAAGUGGAAGCCACACCUCGCCACUUUCACUGGUUUAACACCAAAGUAGACAUUAAAGAAAGCGUUCAAGGUUCUCCAUUCAUUUGAGUGAUAUCUCUUGGGAAUACGUGACUUAGGAUAAUAUAUCAAGCACCCUUGACUUGAUGCAUCUUCAUCAUAGCAGAAUUCACAAAAUUGAAAAGACUGAUAGGAAAAAUAGGCACUGUCAUCAUCGAAAUUCAAUUUACAGUUGAAACACCUAUGUUUUUUGGUCUCAAUCUCAAGUGGAACACAAAGAGAGCACAGAACAAAGCCCAAGAAGUCAUCAUUUUCAUACCAACUCCAAGGAAGUUUCAUUGUUAUUUUGAACCCGCUUUUCUGAUGGCUUAUCCACUCCGGAAUCCCAUUACUUUCAGCAAUAAAAGUUAUGAGAGUUUUUCUAAAUUCACGCCCCUGCACAAAAAUUACCCUCUGAAUUUUGUGUCUCAAUGAAAACAAAGGUUAAAUGCUAUAUGAAAACCAUACCUGAAUUUGGGAUUUAAAACAUUUGAAUAAAGAAGACCAGAGUAGAUUUGAUCGACUGGAUAAAUUUUCCAGGGAUGUGCAGUGAUGGGCAUCUAGACAAAAUAAACCUGAUGGAAGUUCUGGAAUAUGUUGAAGCAUCUUGCAGUGACCCAAGUAAAGAUUUUCUAGGUUAUAAAGUUGACUGAUCCCAUCAGGUAUGCGACUAAAGUGGUUCCCCCCCAGAGAUAAUGUUACCAGUGAUGAUAGGUAAUAGAUUUCACUGGGAAAUUCCCUUAGAUUGCAGCCUUGAAGCUUUAACGUCCUCAAGGAGCAUAAACCGGACAAAGACGGCAAUUGAAAAUUCAUUGAAUCUAAAUGCCCAACAAAAAGAUACUCUAAAGAUUGCAGUCUCCCCAAGUUGUCUGGCAAUUUGUUGAAGUUUGGACAGCGACUGACAACGAGAGUUUUAAAAGAUGUCAAAUUACAAAUACUCUCAGGAAGAUUCACAAGGUUUUUGCAGUUUCUCAGAAGCAAAUAUUGAAGCCCUCUUAGACGUUGAAUUGAUGAUGGUAUCUCUUUUAUGGCGGUUCCAUUUAAAUAAAGCUUUCUCAAGCUCUCCAUAUCUUGCAGGAUUUCUGGAAAGCUCUCUAGUUGUGAACAGCCAGAGCAGGAGAGAGUUGCAAGGGAUUUGAAACCAAAAAUGCUACUGGGCAGACUCGUAAGAUUUCUGCAAUCCCGCAGACAUAAACUAUCAAGUUCCAAGGGAUUCUCGAUAAUGGGUACUUCAUUCAUAUCACUGCCCUUAAAACAGCACUUCCGCCGAGGUGUCCCAUCCCGUUGGCAUGCCCUGCAUAUUCUAAUAUCUGCAUCCUCAUGGCUUUGUUGAAGGUCUUGGGAGUAUAUAAGGCGGACUCCACACUCCUUUACUUUCAAGACUUUCUCAGAAUUAAUGUAAAAGUCGAAAAAGGAAAACCCAAUGAAAGUCCGUUGAUCAGAGCAAAACCUUUCCGGAAUAACUGCCUUGGGAUAGCAAAUCACCCACGUCUGACCUGAUACACUCUCAUUAUCUUCGUCCUUGUCUUUUUUAUAGCAAAAACAAUUGGAUUGAAAGAAGGAACGAUCUACCAAUUCAACUCCAUCACCAGCCACAUCCAAACAACAGCUAAGACGACAAGGAUGUGUAUGUUUAUGUUCAUUCUUACGAAAAGAUUCAGCCACAGAUUUAUCGUCUGUUUCAUUCUCCCAUGUAUGAGCAGAUUCAUCCUCAGAUUUAUUAGCUGAUUCAUUCUUGGACCCGUGUGCAGAUUCCUUUUCAGGUAUGUCCUCAGAUUCGUAAGCAAAUGGAACAUAAACACAACAUAGAGCAAAUCCCAAAAACUCAUUAUUUUGGUGCCAAUUCUGAGGGAGCUCUGUUUCUGUAAAAUAUCUUUUUGUCCGAUCCAUAAUCCAUUCUGGAAUUCCAUCAGUUCUGGGAAGAACAAUGCAAGUUCCCUUGCCACGGUAGGAAGAAUCACUAAAACUAGUGCGUUUCAAACCCUGCACCAAAGCACCAUGUAAAUAUAGAGUCUGCAUAUAUAACUAGUGUGUGACAUGAAAAUCAUACCUGUGCCCAACUGAAGCAAUUGACCAGAGAAUGCAAUGGCAAAAACAGGGCUCUUGAUGAAGUGCGAUUUGAACCAUGUGCAUCUAAAAGCCGUAGACGUGAUGGAAGCUCUGGAAUUUGUUCAAGAUUGUUGCAGUGACUAAGGUUAAGGACUUCCAGCCUGGAAAGCUGAUUGAUGGUAGUAGGUAUGCUACUAAAAUGACCCUGUUCCAGAUUUAGUUUCUGUAAUGAUGAUAAAUGGCAAAUAUCACUAGGAAUUCCUCCUUCCAUUAUGUUGCAGUGACCUAGGUCCAAUUCUUUCAAUGAUGAUAAAUGGCAAAUAUGAUUAGGGAUUUGGUGGAGCUUUAAACACUCUUGAAGUAGGAGAGUUUGAAGACCAUUUAGAUGUGUAAUUGAUGAUGGUAAGUCCAUUAUAGCUGUUCCACUCAAAUCAAGCACCCUUAGCUCUCUCAUAUCGCCUUUGAUUUCUGGAAAUCUCUCUAGCUUUGAACAGCCAUUGCAAGACAAAGUUUGAAGGUGUUUCCACUUGUAAAUGCCUCUUGGAAGAAGCUCCAGGUUUACACACCCUGCCAGAUUCAAGGGAAAAAGAAAAACCAAGUUAGUUUUAGUAAUUAUAAUACUGCUGCACCAAACUUUUAAGUACCGUUGUACAACCUUCUAGAGUUAGAAUCUCCAAGUUUGGCACACUUGAGAAGUCUGGGAUUCUUAUGAGAUGGACAGAGUGACUGAGAUCAAUAACCCUCAACUUGUCAUGAAGCUGUAACAAAAUAAUUUUUUUCAAUAGAUAAAUUUACACGUUAAAAAUUAAUAUAAAAUUAAACUGUAACUAAAUAAUAAUAACAAUACCUUAUUGCCCCUCCAAACUUGCUUUAUAUUGCUGUCCCUUAAUGAGAGUUCAACAAGGUUCUUUGCAUGAAAAUUCAUUGGCAAAGAUUCUAAAGGGUAUCCAUCCCAAUGCAGAUAUGCUAACUCAUAGGAAUAGAAUUCAAAGUCCCUUGGAAGGUGGUCUUUAAGAAAUAGCUUUCUACGAGGGUUAUGGAUUUUGAGCAGUCUAAGUCUAUUCAUCUCUUUGAAAGAUUCUGUAGUAAGCUCUGAUGGAUUAAAUUUACAUCUAUCUAAGAAUAGUCCUUCAAUUGCUCGUGUCCCCUGAAAAAUAUAAGAUGAGUAGGUGAAACAAAAGAUGCAUUAGGCUUAAUUGAGUUAUACACACGGCUAAUUUCUGAAAAAAAUAAUAAUAGUAAUGAAGCUUGCAUACACACGUAUAAACAAGUUCAUGCAUUUGACUCUUACCUUAUUUCCUGUUAGCACAUGAUAGGCAUUAGAAUCGCAUAAUCUACUCCUUCUUCCAGGGUCUUCCGGACAUUCUUGACGAAUAAUCUCCCAACCCAUUUGUUGUAUUAAAUCAUGCAUAUCUAGCAUGUUUUUUGAAACAGUUAUGAGACAUCUAUCAUCUAGAGUUGUUAUUGCGUGCUUUGCAUGAGGGCCCAAUAUUCUUGAAACAAAAUCUCUAUCAUCUCCUUUGAAAAAGCAUGCAACAUCCAAAAAUAUCCCCUUGUCUAUAUCAUCGAGUCCAUCAAAACUUAUUCUAAGUACAUUGUGAAUUUCCAUGUGGGGCAUUAUUUUUAGCUUACACAGUGCACUUUCCCAAUUACUUAUUUUCUUUCCAAAAAGAGAAGCACCUAAAACUUUAAGUGCUAACGGAAGGCCAUUAGCAUAAUCUAUGAUAUUGUAUGAGAGAUUUUUAUAAACUUCUUGGGGACGAUUUUGUUUAAAGGCCCACAAACUAAAGAGCUCAAUAGCUUCUUCCUUGUUUAAUUUUGAAACCUCAUAUCGUAUAUCCGCUCCAUAUUGAGCAAGUACAUGUUUGUCUCUAGAUGUAAUGAUGAUUGUACUUUUUGCCCGAAACCAAUCCUUCUCUUCAGCCAAAUAUUCUAGUUGUUUCAACUCAUCCACAUCAUCAAAAAUAACAAGAACUCUAUUGGAGCUUAGACACCUCUUUAUCAUACUAAUUCCUUCAUCAACAUUGUUUAUUUUAAAAUUUUUUCCCCUUAGGAUACCAUGAAGAAGUUCUUGCUGUAACUGAAGUAUAUCACCUUUGGAUCUCUCUUUGAUAUUUAUAAGAAAGCUACUACCAUCAUAUUGAUGUGAGAUCUCAUUAUAAAUAGCCUUGGCGAUAGUAGUCUUGCCAACCCCACCAAUUCCAUAUAUCCCUACGACACUAACCAUAUUUAACUCAGUGUUCAUCAACGAUUUCAAUUUUUCCAAAUGAACACCAAUUCCAACUAUGUUCUUUCCCACACUUAAAGGUUGAUGGUUUAAUCUUCUAAUGAUUGUAUCAACAAUUUCCUUGACAACCUCGGUCUCAUACCUGCCAAUCAUAUAAAUUAAGUACAAUGAUGAGUUAGAAUGAGUUGCAAAAUAUAAUAAAUUUAAAAUAAAUUUAGUCUUGUAUGGCCGUGUCCAAUAUUACUGAAUUAGUAGCAAUGGAAUGAAAAAGAAAGGGGUGAAGCCAAUUUACUUACAUAUUUAAGCUUUAAAAUUUGUAAGUAUCAAACUACUAAAAAUGUGCCAAGUUGCAAAAUUUCAAUACUCUUACUGUUAGAGCAUUGUGUAGGACUCCUCUAUGAACAAGCUAAUGCCUUCUUUCAACUUUGAUUUCACAAACAACUUGCUUAUGAUUCCUCAAUUUCACUUGUCUUUAGGUUUUAUUAACUUACCAAUACUUACCAAUGUUGCAAAGACUCUGUUUUUAGCCUGCCAAUUAAUUUUGCAUUUCCAUAGAGGAAUCAGGAAACAAGUGAAUGUGGAGAAUUUCAUGAUUUGCUUGUUGGUUGGGAACUUAAAUAUGAUUUGCUUUAGAGAAAAUUAUAAAAGGGUUAAAUUUUGAUACUUGUAUUUUUGGACCAACACAAGGGAAAAAUGAAAGUCAGAUUUUGUUGACAAUUUCAUACUUACUGGUCAUUCACAUGGCAUCCAGAUAGAUUAGCUGCUUUUCUCAAGGCAAUCCUCCACUUUUGUAUCAUCUCCUUCUUUUCUUGAUUUGCAUCUCUUUCAUGGUAGGCAAGUGCGUCUCCGAAACUCCCCCUUUGGUUUCGUACAUCAGAUGGAUCCACAUGGUAGAAAAUUGGUAGAACCACUGAUUCCUUUUGGCUCUUGCGUUCAAUGAUCUUUACGAGUUCAUUUAAACACCAUCUGGAGUAAGCAUAAUUUUUUGAGAAAAUAAUAAUAAAAAACCUCGAUUCUUCUAUAGCUCUCAAGAGAUCAGAUGCAAUAUCUCCUCCUUUCUCAAGUUCUUCAUCAUCUCUGAAAGUUUGAAUUCCAGAUGCAGUCAAUGUGGUAUAUAGAUGAUCAGUGAAAUUUCUGCGAGUAUCGCCACCUCUAAAACUCAAGAACACAUCAUAAUUACGAGAAAUAGAAGUAGUCGAAGAAGAGGCUCUAUGGGUGCUGGAAGAAGCCAUUUUUGGAUGGCUUGAACCAAAAUUACAAGGGAGUUUGGAGGGUCCUUGGAUGCUCAAUGACUAUUGGCUCCAGACCUCUUCACCAUGAACAAAAAUCCAAGCUGGGAGGGAGGUUCAGCUGAAAAGCUUCAUCUGCAGUCGUAAAAGAAAAGAAAAACGUAUAUAAAGCCCUCUUUGAGAAAUUUCUUUGUAUAUAAAUUCUAAGAGAAACUCACACAUAUUUUACCUUUUGGUUGGGGAAGAUCCUUUCUCCAUUCCCUUUGUGUUGGAGACUGCAUUAAGGGAUGCAGAGAAGAUGGUGGGGAAGGUGUUGAAGAAGAGGCGGUGGGUAGCAGAGGUCUCGUUGACUGGGUGGAUGGAAUCGAGGUAAGGAAUUCUAAUAUUUUGAAAUGAAAUUUCAUGGAAGGUGUUGUUUUCAGUUUUUGUUUCCACAAAUAUUUGUGCGCGGCACCUAUGAUGAUGAGAAAUCCCUAAUUAAGACUAAGUAAUAUUGCUUUCCUUUUUAAUUAAUCAUUUAUACUUAAUUUUUUUCCGUCAACUUAAGUAUUUUGAUAAUAUUAUUUGUUAUAGAUAUUGAUGGGAAAAUUCUAUCAUCUUUCUAAGAGAUUUAUUAGAUUCUUGUUGGAAAUCCACGUCAAAGUAGGCUGCUAACUAAAAGUUAAUAGAGGUCUGUGACUUUCACAUUAAAAAAUAGUUGGAUUGAUGUAGAAAAGGCAAACCUUCCCCCCACACCCAAAUGUAAUAUUUCAUUAUUUUUUGUAAUUUUAUUUUUCUCUCUAGUUCCUAUAUUUGUACAACUUCCUCCUUUAGUUUAGUUCCUUUUCUUUGUAAUAUUUAUUUUGAUAUUUUUACAACUUAAAUUUAUGGAAUAUCUUUAUUUAAUAAUUUUUAUAAAAAAUAUUAAGUUUUUAUAGAUAUAUCAAUAUAUAGGUUUUACAUAUAUAUUGGGAUAUAUAAGGAAAUAUCGAUGAAAUGGAAAUUGAUCAAAAAUUAUAAAAAUAUUCAAUAUAAUUCAAUAAAAAUGAAUAUUAGAAAUAAUAAUAAACAUUUUGAUAUUGUUUUGUUAAAAAAAAAAAAAGAUCGAUAUAUGUAUGAUAUAAUUUAUAAUAUUCAAAAAUAAUAUUUAAAAUUAAAAAAAAAUUAUAUAAACAUAUCUAAUUUGGAUGUAUUUAAUGACAUAAAAAAUUAUGAUAAAAGUAUUAGUACUUUUAUUUUAAAAUAUUGACAAUUUUAUUUAUAAAUUUAUAUAUGGUUAUUUUAUAUUUAUUUAUUAUACCAAACAUAUGAUAAUUAAAAUUUAUUCAUUUAUAUAUAUAUACAAAAAAACAUAUAUUAAUUUAUGCAUAUGUAACAUAAUUUAUAAUAUAUAUAUAUAAAAGAGAAUCUUAAUAUAAUAUACAUAAAUAAACAUCGUAUAUGUAAGUCAUGCAUUGCAUUAUAAUAUUAACAAACUUAGGUCGGUGGCGUGCUGCGCUCACGCAAUGCCUGAGGUCAUGGGUUCUCAAACCCAUCCUUCCACUAACGAUUCUCUUUUUUAAUGUUAAGGGGUGGAAUCCCACAUCGACCAGCCAUAGCACUCAAAGUUUAAAUCUUUUUUUAACGGUAAGAGGUGGUAUCCCACAUCGGCCGGCCACAGCACUUAAAAAACCUGCUCAUAGACCCUUCUACCGACGUAGACGCAAUAUUUUCCAAAAAGGCUGAUGUCUCUCCGAGCCGAGAUAUCCACCUGCUGUAUCGUGUCGGAUGUUACGGACAGAAGAAAUAGUUCCAGCUACUUUCAUCUUGAUCAUAUCUUCAUAAUUGAUUAUUCAUUUUGAUGUUUUACUUCUAAUAUACCUGACAUUUUAGUUUGGUGUUUCGCUUAGGCUUUGAUUACGGAACUAUUUCUUAUAAUUAUUGGUAGGAAAUUUCCUAUGGUCUUCCAAGUAGGCUAUUUACAAAAGAUUGAAAAAUUGAAAAACCUCAAUGUCCUUUCACAUUUGAAGAUAGUGAAAUUCAUAUAAAAACAAUCAAUACUACAAAAAUUUGUAUGAAGAUAAUGCUAUUUAAAGAAGGUUAAUAGACCUUGAUGUCCUUUUAUAUUGAAAGAUAAUGAAAUUCUAUAUAAAAUAUUAAUAAUAAUAACCAACGCUACAAAAGUUUGUGUGAAGGCAGAGACCAUUUACAAAAGGUCAAUAGACCUCAAUGUGCUUUCACAUUGAAAGAUAAUGAAAUUCACAUAAAAAUAAUAAUAAUAGUAACUAAUGCUAUAAAAAUUUGUAUGAAGACAAACUAUUUACAAAAGCUCAAUAGACCUUAAUGUUCUUUUAUAUUGAGAGAUAGUGAAAUUUAGAUAAAAAUAUAUAUAGCCAAUGCUACAAAAGAUUGUAUAAAGGCAAACUAUUUAUAAAAGGUUAAUAGACUUUAAUGUCCUUUUAUAUUGAGAGAUAGUGAAAUUUAUGUAAAAAUAUAGUCAAUGCUACAAAAGUUUGUAUAAAGGCAAACUAUUUAUAAAAGGUUAAUGGACUUUAAUGUCCUUUUAUAUUGAAAGAUAGUGAAUUCAUAUAUACAUAUAUAUAAUAAUAAUAAUAACCAACACUACAAAAGUUUGUAUGACAGCAAACCAUUUACAAAACCUUAAUAGACCUCAAUGUCCUUUCACAUUGAAAGAUUGUGAAAUUCACAUUAAAAAAAAAAAAAAAAACCAAGCAUAUAUAUAUAUAUGGUAAUGUGAUAUUUCAUCUUAAUUCCUCUUUUAUUUUCAUCUCUUGGUAUUGAAUAAUAUAUUCUUCAUUUCUACAACUCUUUCUUUUUUCUUAACUUUUUUUUUUUUUUUGUACUCAGUAACAAUGGGUUCAUUUGACAUUCAUUCAAGAUCCUCCUUGUUUUGUUCUCAAAUGAUUCAAAAAAAAUGAUACCAUAUAAGGAAUUUCUUAAAUAGAUGCUUGUAAAAAUUAUAUAAAAUUUAUUAAAAAAAAAUUAAAAAUCAAAGAAAUAUCACUCCUUUUCUUUAAUUUUUAUCCUUUAAUCAUUGGUGCAAAAUGAUAAAAGUGCAAUUAUGCUUUAUUUGGUACUAAUAAGAAUUUCAAAAUCUCUUCACCUCAAGAUAUUGAAGUUUAGGUAAGAAAAUAGAUGGAUAAAAGUAUGACAUAAAACUUUUUUUCCCCAUUUGGAAGGUGUUUGUAGUUAAAGUAAAUAUAUAUAUAUAUAUAUAUAUAUAUAUAUAUAUAUAUAUAUAUAUAUAUAUAUAUAUAUAUAUAUCAAGUGGCAUAACAAAAAACAUAGGAUUUCCAAAAAGAACUUAAAAUGCAUUCAUCAUGCAUGUAGCUUGUCCACCGUAUUUCUUCAAAUAAUAUUAUUAUGGUUUGUUUGCAGUAUAUUUAUUAACAUAAAAUUUUAAUCAGAGAAAUGCCAAAAAAAAAAAAAAACUCAUUUUGAUCAUAUCUUCAUAAUUGAUUAUUCAUUUUGAUGUUUUACUUCUAAUAUACCUGACAUUUUAGUUUGGUGUUUCGCUUAGGCUUUGAUUAUGGAACUAUUUCUUAUAAUUAUUGGUAGGAAAUUUCCAAUGGUCUUCCAAAUAGGCUAUUUACAAAAGAUUGAAAAACCUCAAUGUCCUUUCACAUUUGAAGAGAGUGAAAUUCAUAUAAAAACAAUCAAUACUACAAAAAUUUGUAUGAAGAUAAUGUUAUUUACAAAAGGUUAAUAGACCUUGAUGUCCUUUUAUAUUGAAAGAUAGUGAAAUUCUAUAUAAAAUAUUAAUAAUAAUAACCAACGCUACAAAAAUUUGUAUGAAGGCAGAGACCAUUUACAAAAGGUCAAUAGACCUCAAUGUGCUUUCACAUUAAAAGAUAAUGAAAUACACAAAAAUAAUAAUAAUAAUAAAUAAUGCUAUAAAAAUUUGUAUGAAGACAAACUAUUUACAAAAGGUCAAUAGACCUCAAUGUCCUUUUAUAUUGAGAGAUAGUGAAAUUUAUAUAAAAAAAAACAACCAAUGCUACAAAAGUUUGUAUGAAGGCAAACUAUUUAUAAAAGGUUAAUAGACCUUAAUGUCCUUUUAUAUUAAAAGAUAGUGAAAUUCAUAUAUAUAUAAAACUAAUAAUAAUAACCAAUGCUACAAAAGUUUGUAUGAAGGAAAACCAUUUACAAAAGGUUAAUAGACCUCAAUGUCCUUUCACAUUGAAAGAUAGUGAAAUUCACAUCAAAAAAAGAAAAAGAAAAAACCAAGCAUAUAUAUAUAUAGUAAUGUGAUAUUUUAUCUUAAUUCCUCUUUUAUUUUCAUCUUUUGGUAUUGAAUAAUAUAUUCUUCAUUUCUACAACCCUUUCUUUUUUCUUAACUAUUAUUAUUAUUAUUAUUUUUUGUACUUAGUAACAAUGGGUUCAUUUGACAUUCAUUCAAGAUCCUCCUUGUUUGUUCUCAAAUGAUUCAAAAGAAUGAUAUCAUAUAAGGAAUUUCUUAAAUAGAUGCUUGUAAAAUUAAAAAAACAAAGAAAUAUCAUCUCCUUUUCUUUAAUUUUUAUCCUUCAAUCAUGGGUAAAAAAUGAUAAAAGUGCAAUUAUGCUUUAUUUGGUACUAAUAAGAAUAUCAAAAUUUCUUCACCUCAAGAUAUUGAAGUCUAGCUAAGAAAAUAGAUGGAUAAAAGUAUGACAUAAAACUUUUUUUUUCCCAUUUGGAAGGUGUUUAUAUAUAUCAAGUGGCAUAACAAAAACAUAGGAUUUCCAAAAAGAACUUAAAAUGCAUUCAUCAUGCAUGUAGAUUGUCUACUGUAUUUCUUCAAAUAAUAUUAUUAUGAAUUUGUUUGUACUAUAUUUAUUAACAUAAAAUUUUAAUAAGAGAAAUACCAAAAGAACUGAAAAAGAUGAAAGCAAAUGUAGAAAAAAAAUUAAAUUAAUUCAUAAGAUAAAACAUACUAAGCAAACAAUUUCUAGGGGAGAAAAUUUUGAAAUUUUUAGUAAAAUUAGAAGUAUAUAAUAACAACAUAUUAAAGACUAGUUGCAUAUUUAUUCUAUGAAAUCAUUUCAAUUCAUGACAAAAUGAUAGUCAAAUGAAAAGAAGUUUGAAUGAAAUUUUAAGAUUAUUGAUAUGUUAAUACAUUAAACUAAUCAAUAUUUUUCUAUAUCUUAGCAGCCAUCAAUGACCUGAAGUUAGUAGGACUUCCCUCUCUCUAUAAGACUUUUUUUUUUUUUUCUCUUUUUUGAAAGGAUUUCAUUCCAUUUGUCAAGGUAAGGAAUUGUUUUUCCCUAUCUUUGUUUUUCUCCCUUUGAAUGAUUCACUUAUAUGUUAAGGGUUAGUUUCUUUGAAAAUUUUUUCCUAAAGAAAGAUAUUAUUUUAAUUGGUAAAUAUACCUAUCACUUUGUUGAUGUUAUAGAAACUCUCUCCCUUUUCAAGAUUGUUUUGUUUCUACUACUAUUUGAAAAUAAAAAAUAAAAAAAAUAUUUUAAGUGGUAGAAAACCAACUAAUGGUUAGUUAAAAUAAAUAUUAUAAACCUCAAGAAAUGAGAGACAACAUCCAUAAAUCAACAAAGUUAAAAUCUUUAAUGUCUUUUUUAUGCUUGUGAAGUGUGCAUAGCUGUCCUUCAUUCUCAAUGAUUUUUUAUUUCUAGGAUGACUUUAAGGACUCCUUCCUUUGCAUUUGCUUCUCUCAUUUUAUAAGUCAAGGUCUUUGAUGACUAUUAUUUGCAUUUUGUUUGUUUGUUUGUUCGUUUUUGUUUGCUUUUCUCCUUUCAACGGUCAACAACCAAUCUUCUUACUUUUAGUGCCUUUCUCAUUUUAUAAAUCACGAUCUUUGAUGAUUAUCUUUUGCAUUUUGUCUUUUUGCUUUUCUCCUUUCAACAUUAAACAACCAAUCUUCUUGCUUUUAGUGCUUCUCUCAUUUUAUAAGUGAAGGUCUUCGAUAAUUAUCUUUUGUAUUUUGUUUUUUGCUUUUCUCCUUUCAACAUUCAAUAACCAAUCUUCUUGCUUUUAGUGAUUGUCUUGAACUUUGAUAACAAGUGCCUAAGGCCUUCUAAGAAAUUUGCUUGAAGGCACACUACCAUCCAAAGCUCAAUAAACCAAGGAAAAUUGUAUGAAACUAUUUCAUAUCAUUUCUUGAAAUUCAGAUCUUGGUAAGAAAUUGAUUUGAAGGUAGGCUACUACCAAAGUUUAAUAAACCAAGGAAAAUAGAAUUCUUUUCACACUAUUUCUCAUGUUUGGAUAAUAUGAAAAAAAAAUAAAACAUUAUUAUUUUUUUUAAUUUUGUUUUUCUUUUGUUUUUCUCCUUUUUGACACUAAUUAGUAGUCUCACAUACAUGGAAUGCUCCCUACUAGAUCAUAUAUCCACAUCAAAAGUUAGAUUCAUUAAUCAUAGAAAGAAAAUUAGUAGCCUCACAUAACACUUAAAACAUUGUGAAAAGGUGAAUCUCAAUGAUGGACUACACCUAGAGGGGGGAGGAGGGGGGUGAAUAGGUGUUGUAGAACAAUUUAAAAAUUCUCCCAACAAAGAUUACCUAACCUUAGACUAUCUCAAUGUUAAGAAACUUCUCUUCCAACAACUUUUCAACAAAGCAUAACAUCCACAAGCAAGAGUGAAUGCAUCAACACUCUCCCAAUAAUUUAUAAAUGCAAAACACAUGCAAAUGCUUCAACACUCAAAAAUAAAUCAAAAGAACAAUCAUCUCCUCAACUCAUAUCAAUUGACUCCAUGAUAUCAUUAAACAAAAUGAACAUACAAAAUAUUAAAGAUAUUCCAUGGAUCAUCACACUUAUAUCACCUCAUAUUUCUUCCAUUCAACAUGUAUGCCCAAGUAAUCAAUGAUAUCAAAAACAGAAAAUAAAUCAAAGUGUAGAGUGAGAGAAAUAGACAAUGAACACCGGAUUUUUAAUGUGAAAAACCUCUAAAGAGAUAAAAAAAAAACUACAGACCUAUCACCAAUUGAAAAACUCCAUUAUGAAGAAUAAAAACUGAGUGCAAGGUUUUACCUAGCUCAAGCCAACCAAUCCUUCCCAGACUACUUGACUAGUACCUUCACUUUCAGCUUCUCACCUUCUUCUUUCGGAGCACACUUGGAGUCCGCACCAAGCUCAAUCACGACCUCUUCUUGAAUCCACACAAGAAGAAAAUGGGUUUUUGCACAAACCCAAAUAGAAUAAGAGAUUGAGAUAUGAAUGAAGGAAUGAAUCAACCCAUUUAUUGCUCAAGAAAAUCCAUUAAAAACUAGUUUGGAAAACAUUAAGAGAAGUGGAUUUUCUUUGCAAUCAAAAACCCCAAAUUAGGAAAACAAGAUGAGAAAAUGAAGAACACAUGGAGUGGAUGCUCUCUUCACGUUUUCUGCAGUCCCUGCCUAAAAAAAUGAGAGAAGAUUGUUUUUUUAAAAUAUAAAAAGAAGCCCUUAAUCUAAUGGCUAAUAUUUGAUCUAAAAAAAAUUAGUUGGAUCGAUCCACCCUUGCACCUAGAUAGAUCCAGAAACAGGGGAAUAAAAGUCUUGCACCAAAAACCAUUUCUCCCAACUUUCUAACAUAUUUAAAUAUUAAAAACCGAGUUGACUCACAUUCAAUCACCACACACUCAGCUACAUACCUCGGCCUCUUAGCAAAGUCUUAGUCUUCAAAGUCAAGUAGUCCGAAAAGGAAUUGGAAAGCCGAGUUAGGGGACACUUAGGAAUUUUGUCCGGAAUUGCCAACCCUAAACACUCACACAUUCACAAGUCACUAUCUCUAUAAUAAAACAAAUAGAGUAAUUAGAGUAUUAUUUUUUAAAGCUUUAUCACACAGCUUUCUAUGUAACAAGAAAGGAAGUAUUUUGAAAACUUGGUACAAAGUCUCCAUCCUCAUAAUUCGAUUUGGAAGGGUUUAUUGAAUUAAACCCUCCCUAAAGCGUUUCACGUGUGCCCACAAUUUGUGACGAUCAGGAAGAUUUUCAUUGAUCACUGGAACCUACUUAAAAUUCUGAAUCCAUGCAUGCAAUCGAGGGAAUGUGGUGGAAACCAGCAGUUUUGUGCCAACCAAAUGCUAUGUCCACCAGUCCUAUAGCUUCCCCUCCAAAAAACUUCUUAUCCCCAAGGCCUUUCUCUUCUAUGAUUUUCAGUAUUUCCACUGUUUCUUUUAUGGCCUUCUCUUGCUCUUCCCCAGCAGCAGAUUUAAAGAGUUGAAAAAAAGUGGCACUCUAGAAGAAAUUAGCAACAUGUAUAUUUAGAAUUGAAUGCAUGGUUGAAAACAAGAGUACGGUGAUCUCAAAUAUGAAUAAAAAUUAUAGUUAUUAAAUUAAUUAAAAAUAGGGGGAAAAAAAAAAGAUUUAGAAAGUCUACAAGUUCUUUUCAUUUUAAUCAUAGGUAUUAAUGGGAGAUUUCAAUUUGAUUCCUCUUUCCUCUCCAAAUUCCUUAAUUCCAAACCUAGCUAGGGUGUGAUAGCCAAACAGAAUACAGCCAAGCUCCAGCUCUCCCAAACCAAACCAAACUGAUCAAGAACUCAGCUCCCAGUUAGUUACAACAACCCAAGGAAGUUAGAACAACUGUAUAGUAGAGUAGAUUCAACUGGUAUAAAAACCAUGAUGUUGCUAUUAUAUUCAAGAGAUGAAAUGAAAAACACGGUUUUCAGUUCAGUUUCUAUCAUGGUAUCAGAGCAGAACGAGCUCUUGAAAGAAGUCUUCUUGAAAAGAUAAGCUUCAGGCUGCACAAUACGCUCAUCUCUCAAAAAACAAAAAAAAGAUUUAAAAAGUCUACAAAUUCUUUUCAUUUUAAUCAUAUGUAUUAAUGGGAGAUUUCAAUUUUAAAAAGUAUCAUGGCUAAUUUUUGGAUCACUUCAAUAAAUUUUUACAGAUAGCUAAUUAGAAAUUCACUAAUGAAUACUUUCACAAAUGACUGAAACCAAGAAAUGGGCUAUGAAAGCUAGAUGGAGAGCUUUCAUAUAUUUCAGUCUUGCAAAAGAUUCGGAAAUUAAAUCAUAAGAAUUGAUAAUAAAAACAAGAUUAGUGAGUUAAACCUACAUUUGAUUCUCCAAAAUUGAUCCAAAACCGAGCCAUGGCUCUCUCAUAAGCAUCUGUCGGCAGCAGUACAUUCUCUGGCCAUGUUUCUUCGAAUUAUUCGAGGAUUACAAGGGACUCGGCUACUGCUUUGUCACCAUGAAGAAGCACCGGAAUCUUCUUGUGAACUGGAUUGUGGUAUAACUGCAACUGGCUCUUGUUACCAAGGUCUUCCUCUAUAUACUCAUAGUUUAUGCCCUUGAGUUUUAGAGUCCAAAUCAC
rnacentral:lncRNA from 1 species